rnacentral:lncRNA from 1 species
GACAAUCAAGCCCAAAGCAGUUGAGUUUGAUGACCCGGGACAAGCCACAACUAUCAUAGUAAACCUGGCCAAGUUCAAAGUCCCGGAAAUGUUCAAAAAUGUGGUGUUUGUCAUUGAGUUUGUGCCGGAAAAAGAAAGUAAGUCAUCUUCUCCAAUUUUAAUUUUUAUUUAUACUAACAUGUUUCUUAUUUUGAUGAUUCAGGCACCCACUCUUGAAUUUAAACCAUUGCCGAAUCAUUUCAAGUAUCACCUCCCAUUAAAAGAUAAAUUCCAUGCUUUGGAGCCGAUGAGAGUUUAAAGGAAAGAUUCGUCCGGCUAAAGACGUUAAAUCAAGCGCUUCUUGGGAGGCAACCCAAGCAUUCAACGAAGGAAGACUUUGGAAUCGUUAACCCAAUCAGAUUUGCAUUCUUACACCCUUAUCUUUACUGCUUUCAUUUUGUUUUGUUUAGUUAGUUGUGUUAUUUGGUUGAUUUCUGUGAGUUUGUGUUAUUUAGUUUAAGUGUGGGGGAAGGUUAACCAAAGUCUUUUUACAUUAAUUUACAUAUAUAUAAAAAAAAUAAAUAAUAAAAAAAAAAGAUAAAAUUUAAAAAAAUAAAAUAAAAAAAAAUAAAAUAAAAAAAAAUAAAAAAUAAAAACAUAAAAGUACAAAUAUUUUACAAUGACUUAAACUAAUAGCAUUCAUUGGUCAGGUGGUGCUUCAGUAGUCGGCGGAGCUUCGGCAGUCGGCAGGGCCACAGAAGGAGGAGGCAGCAGAGGUUGAUCAGUUGGAGCUUCACUACGUGGUGCCGCUCCAGAAGACGAAGGCAGAUGUUGUUGGAACAAUCCCACAAACCUUCGAUGAUCAAGUAAAAUUUGACCAUCGGUGUCCUGCAUCUGGUCAAUCUUCCUCUUCAUGCUGGUGGCAUAGUUGUGUGCAAACUUAUGCAAUUGUUUAUUUUCAUGCUUGAGUCCCUAAUCUCCUCUUUGAGACUCUGUAUUUCAGCCACCAACGAUUCAACAUGACGGGUUCGGGCAAAUAGGCGUUGGGCCAUGUUGGACACAGAACCAGCACACUGCACGCUAAGAGCCAGAGACUCCUUAACCGCCAAUUCAUCAGACCGUCUAGCGAGCAGUCUGUUAUCUCUGGGAGUGACAAGGUUCCGGGCCACCACCGCAGCGGUCAUGUCAUUUUUUCACCGAAUCCCCCACGGUAAGAGGACCGGUGGGAGAUAUGAAGGAUGGGCGCCAUAUGUUGUCUGGUGAAGGCGGAGCUGCCUCUUCACCACGGUUGAGGUCAAAACGACGAUCGGAAGGGCCAGACAUUUUUCAGAGGUGGUGAAGAAAGAAGAGAGUCGGACUGAUCAAGAUUUCGGAAGUGCAAGAAGGGAGUGUUUACAGGAGGGAGCUCAAGUGUGUUGUGGAACAAAAUUAACGCCUCUAUAAAAAGAAGAAUUCAAAGAGGCACUCCUCAGAAAUCGAUGAAGCGUCCUCUCACAAAUCGAAGAGUCGAGGAGUUUCCGUUCUCAAAAGCCGGAUUCUUUUCUCAAAAGAGGCGUUCAUUUCUUAAAAGUUGGGCUUGCUCAGAAACCACGAGCCGAACCCCGGAUUUCGCAAGAUCAAUUCGUCCAGACGUGUUGUCACCCGUCACACGCAAACUCAGCUCUGCGAAAAUCACGGGCAGUCUGUCGAAGUGCCGAUUCCAACCAUCUGUCUCUCUCAGCCUAGUCAGCAUUUGUCACAUGCAACUGGCAGCUUUGCGGAAAUUACGGGCAGCUUUGUCAGAAAGCGCGUAAUUUGUACUAUUCAUCCAUCCACCGGCUGCCGACAAUGAGUGAGAGAACAGUUCCGGUUGUGAAGACAAGUCCUAUAAGUUUCUACCUUCGCCUUCCACAGCAAAAGCACACUCUCUCAGCACACCCUCUCAACUCUUCUUCAUCUCCGAAAAUGCAUUCCCAAAGAAUCCUUCUCGAGUCACUCUGUGUUCCUCAUUCCUUGGGAUACUCCUGCGAACAACCCAUUCAAAGCAAAAGUAUUUCAUAUCAUAAAGGUUGAAAGCAAGAGUAUCUCAUAUCAUGCUUUCUCCAUGUCCUUCUCCUUGUCUUUGUUUUCCGACAAGGAGAAGGAGAGCAAUCAGCCAGCAUUUGGUAUCAAUCUUCCGAUCUGGAGCCAACUGCCUGGAACCCCUUCCUGAUUGCUUACCUAGCCUUGCUCUCGAGUACUCAUCUUCAUCAUCUUUAUGCUUUCCUCUUUUGUCUACCACAUCUACCUGGGGGACAGUAAGGGAAGUGAAAAUGAUACCUCGAAGCAUGUGGAGACAAUUCAGCUAGGGACAAGGAGAAAGAAAGCAAGAGGUGGGCACUUGGAAAGAUUGAAGAAAGAAAUCAAGGACCAAACCUCUACCUCGUGCCUGCCCGCCAUGCAGAGGAAACAAGCAGAGAAGAAUGCAGACUGAACUGAAAUCCUCGCUCAGAAUUCCAAAUCAGUUCAAGAGGAAAGCUGUGGAAAGUCAACAAGCACGACCAAUGAUUCACUUAUUAGUUUCUAUUCAUUAUCUUUUAUUUUCAUUUUCAAUUUUUCGUUUGCAAUUUUUUCUAAUUAAUUUUCUUGCGUACUUAACUGAAUUAUUUCUUUUCUUUGCAGGAACUUUUGGUUAUUUCCACCCUUGAAGUUGAUUGCAGAAUUUUAGCUUGGGGGGUCAUCGCUUGAUUUUACUGCAAAUUAGGGAAGUUUUCAGUCCAAUUGCUUUAUUUUGUUUUUUAUUAUUUUGUUUAUUUUAUUUAUUUUUGCAUUAUAGUGUUUUCUGACAUUGGGGACAAUGUCCAGUUUAAGUAUGGGGGUAAAGGGUAAAAAUGACCAAAUUGAAAUUUUUUGUACCUUCAACUUCGAACUGGUUUCAUUUGUUUCUGUGUUGUUGCUUUUUAUUUUUUAGUUUUGUUUUCUCUAUAAAAAAAAUAAAAAAAAAAAAAUCGGAAAAUUUAAAAAUCCAAAAAUAUUGUCUUGUUUUCCUUAUUGUUUUGAAUUAGAUUUUUGUUAGUUUCCCGACCCAAUGAUAUAAUUGGAUAAAAUUUGAACCAUGAUCAUCAAGAACUUAGUUAACAUGUGUUUUUGUGAAAUUCCUAAUUCUCGUUGUUAGUUUUGUACAUGUUUGAUCAUCUUUGAAAAACCAAAUGCACAUAGCCUUGUUGAUGUGAAACUAAAGCAUGACUUAAAGCUUCAUAUGUGAAUUUAGUGACCAUAUACAUCCUAUGUGAGUUUUUGAGCCUAUUGAAAGUGUGUGCAUUUUUCAUACACUCCUAUUCUUUCAUGUGUGAUGAACUUAUGUGAGAUACAUCUCUAGAACUUGCGUAACGAUCUUUCGAAAUGUUUGUCCUUGAUUGCAUGAACUUGGAAAUGAUAGAGGCAUUAGGUUUACCAUGGCCCAAAUAACCAUGUUUCCCAAAGAAAAAUGAUAUCAUUAGAUUGCCAAUUUGAGCCGUAUAUGUUGAACCUUUUGUUUCUUAUCACCAGAUAUGUCUACCCUUAUACCUGAAACAUUUUUCCUUACCCUUUUCCAAGCGAGCAAUGCGAGAUUGUCUUAUGAGAAACGUUUGUUAAGUACUGUGAAGGUGUUUGGCAAAAGAAUAAGUGUGGGGGUAUUUCAUGUUUGUAUUUCAAAAAAAAAAAAAAAAAAAAAAAAAAAAAAAAAAAAAAAAAAGAAAAAGAAAGAUUGUAUACAAAGAAAAUAAAAGUUUUUAAAGUUUCAGUUUAAGGUUGUGGUUGGAGGAUGUCUAGAAGAAUCGUUGGAGAGCUUGAGUUCUUAUAAAUCUAAAGAAAAGAAUUGCUUGCAAUGUAGCUUGGAACUUGUGUUUUCCUAUUCUUUCGUUUCAAUAACCCUAUCCCUAAACCUCAUUACAUCCAAUAAAAGUCCUCUUGAUUUAAGUUUUGCAAUUAUGACUGUGGAGAAGUGAUCUUUAUGCAAGCUUAUGGUAGAAAUUUCACAUUUGUUUCUUUGAGCGAAACACAUUAAAACUAAAACACAUGUGUGAUUGAGUGCAUAUCCCGUGAGAAGGUCGCUAGUUUGCAUAUGAUGAUUUUAAAAAUAAAAACUUGAAAUUGCAUUAGCAUGACUAUCUCACACACUACACUUCAAGGAUGAUUCAAAGAUUACUGCUAAUAUUUGAAUAAGAUGAACUUGGAUUAGUUUGUUUGACGCUAGCUAUGGUUCUUGAUGAUUUGUUUUCUCGAAUGAAAUUCUAUGAGGGUCACAUAGGGGGAAACUAAUGUUUUUCAUGUUAUUACUUUUUCAUGUCUCUUUGUUUUGCUCGAGGACUAGCAAAAGCUAAGUAUGGGGGUAUUUGAUCGGAUCAUAUUUAUAUAUAUUUUUACUUCAAAUUCACUCGUCUUUUCUUAGUUAGUUCCUUAUAUUUUUGAGCUAUUUACGUUAUUUUUGUGUUUAUAGGAUUUGUUAUGCAAAGAAAAUAAAAAUGGCACAAAUGAGUUUUAAAUAAUAAAUUCGUAAAAAAUUGCUUUAGUCGUUCUCAUUCUGUCAUGGGUUAUUGGUAGAAUUAUGUCACGGAUUAUAGGGCAUGGAAAUUAGGCUAAAUUUAUUAGGUAUGCAUUAGAAAUUAUAUGAUAUAUCUAAAAUUGAAGUGUUUUGCAGUUGGUGAGUAAAGAAAAAAAAAAGAAUAAACAAAGUUGUUGGAGGGCUGCACAUUAAGGCACAGAAGGAAUAAAAAACUGCACUUGCAGCGUGAGUGUGGUGGGUGAGGCAUUAGCCUCGGGGGUGAGUGCGGAAAAGAAAGAAAAAUAAUAGGGGAAGUAGGGCAGCUACGUGGGCAGCGAAUAAAGGGAGAGAGGUGAGAAAUCAGCGCGAGGAGAAGACGGGAGAGACGUGAGGAGGGGGAAAGAAGCAGCUUAGCUGCCCCUGGCAGCCUUGGAAAAACAAGAAAAGCAGAAAAUAGAGAGGUCAGAGGCAGCUGCCUUGCGGCAGCAGGAACCGAGGAGAGUCAGGAAGACAGCUGCCCUUUGGCAGCGUGAGCGUGAACACGUGCAGUGAGGUGCGAAGAAGAGACGCCAGCGUGAGACCAGAGGGUGGAUAGGGAGAAGCAGCAAAGCUGCAGUGCCAGCGACAGAAAAACAGAAACAUCAGAGCAGCAAGCUGCACAGAAAACAGAAGGCUUCAAUCUAUUUUCUUGGGGUUAAAUCUUUCCAAACUUUUAUUUUAUUUCUGUUUUUAAUAAUGUGUAAUUAAUUUUAUUUUGGCUAGAGGUUAAUUCGAAACCAUGAAUAUAUUUGUAAUAUGAAUUGAUUACCUUCAGUUGUGAUUUCUGAGUUGUGAUUUAAUUUGCUUAACUGCUUGAUAGAUAACUAAUUUUUUUGUAUGUCGAUUAAGGAUGCAUACUUAAUUUACAUGCAUGAAUUUGAUGCUAGAAUAUAAGUGAAUUUCACCUAAUCGUUAUGAACUUAUAUUCACAAGUAGUGAAGGUUGUUAACCACAAUCGUGUUAAGUAAAUUCUUGGCAUAAGUUUCAUGCAAUUCAUAGUAACAAGUGCCUCGUCAAUGCUUAUGAUUUUCAUAGAACUUAAUGAUUCUUGCUUGUAUCUCUAUUAUGCAAUUCAUGUAGGGAACUUGUGGGGAAUAUUUUGGGUUGUCGUAUGCAAUCAUCCAAUCCAUUAACUUAAGGAAAAUCUGAGAAUUAAUUUAUGCAAUUCAUGGUUAAUUUGGGGCGUUGAGAUUUACAAUUUAUUGAAAGAACAACUGAAAAUCAAUUUAGAUUGCUUAUGUGUCAUGUGUGGAGAAGAACCCUCUAGCUAGUCCGUCAUUUAUCAUUUUACCUUAAUUUUAUGUUUUUGUCAAUUCUGUAAUUUAAUUAAGUUUAAUUUACUUUUCAUCAAAACCAAACACCCAUCCAUUAUUAAAUUAUAUUUUUUUGUUAGUUUUCUUUAUUGUUAGUCUUUUAAUUUAAUUUCCGUCCAUUUCAGUUCCUAGUGUUUAAUUUAAUUGUUUUCAUUAUUUUGAGUCAUUUUAAGUGUGUUUCGAGUUAUUAGAGUUUUUAGCCUAAUUUUGUGUCCUUGAGUCUUGUUUAAUAUUUUUAGAUUAAUUUAGCAUAGAUUAGCAAUCCCUCCUAAUCCCCGGCCUAGAACGAUACCCUACUUACAUCUAUACUACAAUUGUCAAAAAGAGGGUUAAUUUGUGUGUCAAGUAAUUCUCACAUCAGUUCCAUUGGCAAGGUUUAAACUUUUGAGAAAUGCUUCACAACUUUGAAAACAAAAACGCUUUCAUUUUGCAUAUCCUUGCACAUUUAAUAUUUGUAAUAGAUUAGUAGUGUAUGGAUGUAUUUUUUAUGAGGCUCUUAUUUUCGAGUACAUAAGCGACAAAUGUGUUUUAAUAUUUUGAAGUAAUAUUUAUGUGACAAUGUGUGGUAUGUGCAAAUUUAAGAAAAAAAAAUAUUUUUCUUAACGGGUCAUAACGGGUCGGGUCACUUUACCCAUUGGGUAAAGUGACCCGACCUGUUAAGGACCCGUUAAGAUAACAGGUGUGACACGACACGACCCGUUAAGAUAACAGGUGUUACACGAAAACGACACGAACACGACUGACACGACCCGUUUGCCAGGCCUAGCAGAAGGUAUGUAAGUACUAUUGGUUGCCCGGACGAGAACAAAAUUACAUAUUCCAUUGCUGAUCUGGAUGGCCUUGUGUGGGAGAACACCCCAUAUUUUGUUCUCAACAUUAAUGAGACUGCUUCUUAAGAUGACUGCUUGAGAGAUUGCAAUUGUGAAGCUGCAGUUUAUCAUGACUAGUUGUGCCAAAAACAGAGGUUUCCGCUAAGAUUUGGAAGAACUGGAAAAAGUGGCUCAACCAUGAUCAAAGUUGUCACUGAGAGUUCAGGGACAAAAACUGUAAGCAAAGCAAGGUAAGAACAACUUCGAACAUGAAUCUUUAUUGGCGGUAUUGCAAUGCUAAGUUUUGCACUUAUUAUUCUAGCAAUUACUGGUUUUGUUAUUUAUAGAUACUGUGUUGCAGAUUACGAAAAGAUUUCGAAUUCAAAAAAUGAUGGGUUUGUAGAAGAUGUCACGCUGCGAUCAUAUACAUAUUGUAAGCUUGAAAAGGCAACCAAAGGUUUUAGUGAUCAAGUGGGCAAAAGACCAUUUGGGACAUUUUAUAAAAGGGUCAUACCAUCAAAUGGUGGGAGAGUAGUGGCUAUCAAGAAACUAGAGAAGGUGAUGGAUCAAGGAGACUGGGAAUUCCGAAAUGAGAUGAACGCAAUAGGAAGGACGCAUCAUAAAAAUCUGGUUAAAUUGCUUGGCUACUAUCACGAUGGAUCAAAUAGGCUUCUGGUUUAUGAGUACAUGACCAAUGGCUUGUAAUAGCAACCAUACAAGCUCUAUAACAAACUAGCCAAGAACAUAAGAUUUAACCAAGUCACAAUCAUCACUCCAAAUAUAUUCUGUAUAUGCAAACACUGAAGUAAUUUCUGCAACACAUACCUGCAGACUGUUUGACGAAGUCUUUCUCAUGUGUGUAUGCCAUUAGGUCAUGAGUAAGUUCAACUUACAUUCCCAAUAGUCUUCUGGAUAAUUGCAACUCGCUGUAAUGCCUUCUCAGAUUCCAAAGCCCGAACUCUAAGCUUCAUAUCACCUUGUUCCAAUCUUUGUAUAAUUUCAGCAAGCUUUUCAACUCUGUCAGCAUGUUCAUGGAUGAAGAAGCCAUGGACGAAUCUACACACAACCUUCUCCUCUCUGCAAAACUCAAUGCUCUUCAAGUUAUAGGUAAUUGGAACAAUAAAAGCAUGUUUUUGUGAGAGCAGGGGUUUGUGGUUUUUAUACUACAAAAUCUAGAUUACCUUAUAAUAAUCCUACAAGGAAUACAAGACCAAAUCCUUGUACAAGUAUGAGUUCUAUUCUUGAGCCAACAGUAGAGUUUCAAUCCAAACCAAAGUUAAAUUAACUCUUAUAAACACAUUAAGACCUCUUUAUACCAAUCUGAAAUAACAAUGAUUAUUACUAAGCUGUGAGAAUCACACUCAUACUCUAACAUAGCUCACUUGCAGAUUUCUUUUUCCGAUCGGAUGGAAGACCAACUUGGAAGGAAAGAAUUGGCAUAUGUCUCAAUGUAACUUGAGGCAUACUUUAUUUACAUGAAGAGUGUGACACACAGAUCAUCCACUGUGACAUCAAAUCGGAAAAUAUACUAAUGAGUGACCAAAAAUGUGCAAAGCUUGUUGAUUUUGGUCUUGCCAAGCUGCUAAAGCUUGACCAAACUAGGACAUAUACCGGGUUAAGAGGAACAUGGGGUUAUGUUGCACCUGAGUGGCAUAGAAACGUUCCCAUAACAGUGAACAAAUGUAUACAGCUUUGGGGUUGUGUUAUUGGAGAAUAUGCUGCAGAAGAUGUGUGAAUAUGGACAUACUUGAAGAUCAAGUUAUCCUUGAGAAUUGGGUAUACCAUUGUUUGGAAGCCGACGAACUGGAUAAGCUAGUGAAGGAUGAAGAUGUUGACAAGAAUGAACUUCAAAUGAUGGUUAAGGUAGGACUUUGGUGCAUCCAAGAUGAGCUAGCAUUUCGCCCUUCGAUGAAGAAGAUCAUACUAAUGCUGGAAGGGACUGUAGAGAUACCAAACCCGCCAAGUUUUACCUCCAUUUCUAGUUCCAUUUCCUGACUAAGCCUUGUUGUUAACUGAUUAGGAAACUAGCUAGCUUCUGUGUAAUUUUGUUGCAGCGUUGGUUUUGUUGUUUGUUUUAGUUUUAAGUAAAGUUUAUCUUCAUGUACUAUGCUACAAUCUGAUCCGUACAAAAUGAAUAACAAGUAAAUUUCAUACUUCACCGAGCAUACAAAUUAGGUGGUGUAUGGUUUCUUUAAUUUAGGUGAUAAGUCUAUCAAUGUAUACAAUGAAGCAGAAGAAAAUCUUUCUCACCGGCGUGUGUGGGGUUUCAUUCUCAUUGAUCUGCGUCAGCACCUGCCCUAGCUUAGGCUAGGCUUGGUGAUUGUCCCAUGGUUUCCUGUGUAGUUUGUUUUUGUGGUUUAGUUUUCAGUUUUAUCUAGCUCUUCAUGAUCUAUGGGAGAGUGUAGAGCUUUAGUUCAUGUGUUCCCACCAUCAUCCUUGUUGGCCCUUGUUGGUCCUUCCCAUUGUCCACCCUUGUCGGCGAUAUUUCUCGUGGGUUUACACCUACAUGCUUUCUUGGUCUCGUGGUGGCGAUCCUUGUGUUGGUCCAUAGUGGAUGAUAUGGCCUCUUUCUUCACCAAUUUCGAGUUUCUUCAUUGUGUGAUCCCUAGUAGGGGUGAGCACGGGCUGGGCCGGGCCCAUUUUUUAAGGAACCGGACCGGACAUGAGUUUAAAAUAAAUGGGCCGGGCCGGGCUGGGUACAUCAUAUUUCAAUACAGAAAUCAGACCUAACCUGGCCCGUUUGAAACGGGCCGAUCCGGGCCAGGUCCACGGGUCUUUUUUUUUUCUCUCUCUGUUUAAGAUUGAUUCAGCUCCAGAACCCAGUUCCAAAUUGCAAUUCCAAUUCCAAAUCCAGUUCCAAAUCGUCACCAAACCUAGUUCUUACUUUAAUGUUCUUCAAUCUUUACAUGAGCAUACCUCUCUCUAGAUCUUUUGCUUUCUGCAAAAAUGGCUCAGAAUACGUUUUUCUAAUUGGCCUUUUUCUUAGCAUUAUUCACACUCACUUCACUCUCCCACAUCCUACGCGAAUCCGACCCCUCAACUCCUCCGCCUUCUCCCUCCAACUCCACCCCCGCGACGCCCUCUUCAAUUUCCAGCACAAAGACUACAAAUCCUUCACCUUAACCAGCCUCGACCGCGACUCGGCCCGAGUUAACUCGCUUCAAACCAAGCUCCCCUUGGCACUCCAGGGGAUCAAAAAUCAGAUUGCGACUGCGAUGAUGUCGGGGUGGUGGAGGAGAUGACUGACGGAGAGUGGGUGGAACCGUAAAGGGGAAGGGACGAUGCAUGCGAGACGACAAGAGAUGUAACCAAUGAUAGAACAUAUACAUCUAGCAACCUGGGAAAACUUAGGGAUCUUUAUAGAGAUGUAAGUGAUCAAAAAGGAGAAACCAGUAUGGACAGGAUUCCCAGGGGAGAUGGUGGUGGUGGUGAAGAGGUGAUUAGACUUGGCGAUUCUCGUUGGAAAUAGCACGGAGAGAGAGAGAGAGAGAUCGAGAGAGAGAGAGAGAGAGAUUGAGAAUCGAGUCGACAGAUCUGAAAGGGAGGAUUGAAGAGAGGAGAGUAUUCGAGAAGAUUUGAGAAAAUAGGAGAGGAAUAGGAAAAUGUUACAAACGGGCAGUUCGAGUACCCGUUUUCUUACACUUUUGGAAUCGGCCCGCCCCUAAAAUUUCAAAGCCCCGGCCCGCCUUGCCCCGUUUCUUUAAAAAAAUUAGGAACCGGCCCGUACCCGCCCCGAACCGCGAUUACCCGCCCCGACUCGCAGUUCCUAUACCCGUUUGCCCACCCUUAAUCCCUAGUGAUUGUGGAGGGAGGCGGACAGUUGUGCGGAUUUCUAGUGGCGGCGUUUCUAGGAUUUUCUAUGUAGUUUGUUUGUGUGUGAUGGGCUCUAAGUUUCUUAGGAUGUUUUCUUAUGUGCGUUUGUGGCCCAUUUUCUUUUUUGUGCUUAACUUGUAAUGGGCUUUGUUGUACUUGUUUUGGUUAGUAAGGAAAUGUACAAUUUAUAAAAGAGAGUUUUAACGAAAAACUCACGGUACUGUUCACUUUAAUGAAAAACCACAUUUUUACACUAAAAAGUCAAACUUGGUACUAUUCACUUUACCUUUUAUUUUGUCCUUAUCGUUAAAAGUCAAAGUUUUCAAGCCAUUUUCAUUAAUUUUCCUUUUAUAAAAUAAAUAAAUAAAUGAAGUGAUGCAAACUUUAGGGUUACUUACAUUUUAUACCUUUUAGGUUUGAAGUGUUUUUAAAAAUUGGUCAUGAGGUUUCCAUUUUUUCAAACUGCACGUUUACACCUUUUGUCUAUUUGAACGUCUAAUUAUCCAUUAAAUUGAUGAGUUUUUGGGUCAAUUUGGUACAAAUGUGGCUAUACAUAUCAACCCAAUUAUGUGUUCCACGCUCGCAAAGUUAUCAAUUUAAUGAAGACUCAAAACAUUUGUUAGACAAAAAACAUAAUUGAUACAGUUCUAAAAUCUCAAGGUGUAGUGUGAAAAAGUGAAAUCUUAUGGCCCAAUUGACACAGAACGUUAUGUGACAAUUUACUUGAGUAGAAAAAAAAACUCGAGCAUCAUGAUAUUUUGAUGUGAAAAAAAAAACGCAAACGUUUGCUUUUUUUUUUUUUUUUUUUUUUUUUUUUUUUAACAAACGAUAUUAUCUACACUAAGGUGGAAGAAGAUGAAGCUUAGCCUUACAAUAAGCUAAUAAUAAUAUGGUUCAAAUUCGUCUUUGACGAGAAUCGAAUCUAAGACCUCUUACUUACUAAUAAAGAAUGGUAAGCCUUUCUCUAUUGCCCCAAAAAAAGAGAGUAGUCGUUGUCUCAUUUGACGGAUUGAAAUAACGGAGUUUAGUGUCCGAUUAAACCAAGGGGAGCAUGAGUGCAAUUUGACUCACUCCUUAACUUGGCAAAGCAAUCCGGCCGGUCCAAGUGUACUGAUGAUCCGCGUGGCAAAAUCCCUGCUAAACUGCCGAAGGGAACCAAUGAGGCCUCCCGCAGCAAAACUACUCUAAAGAAUAAACACGCGAUCUGAGUCGUCGGCGAGUAUCGACGUCAAAAACCAUUCGCUGGAGCAAAGCAGGUCACUGAAAAUAAAUAAAUAAAAAUUAAAAAAAAACACGGAAGCUGAAGCUGUUGCGGGAAAAAGCUUGAUCAGAUUAGGGUUUCGCGAAUUCGAAUCGCCGAAAAGGUUCAAUCAAGUUAGGGCUUUUAUCAAAAUUUUAGUUAUAAUUGCUUAGUUUGUUUGCUGAAAUUUGGAAAUUUGCAGGAUAACUGAAAUGGGGGACGGCCUAUGGAACCGGCAGCAGCAGCAGCAGCAUCAACUUGGUCCCUCUGGCGGCGUGCAUAAACGACCUCGUUCUGACUACGGUACGUUCUCUGUGGCCGUGUCUCAUAGUUAUUUUCUUUAAUUGGAUGGAACUGUGAUUGGAUUUUUUGCAUUAUAGAUUUAGUUGUCUAACAAUUUAAAUAUGUGACCUUUUUUGUUUUUUAUUCGAGCGAUAUUAUAGUCUAAUCGAAACUAUGGGGAGUGGAGGAUCUGAACUUGGGUGUAAAGAGGGAGCACACUGCUCAAGUGUUAGCUCGAAGUCUGAUUUUUGUGCCAUAAGUGUUUUUGCUUUAGUAGUUCUUGAUGGGUUUUCGGGUUUCACUGUAAAAUUAUGUUCAAAAUGGUGAAUUUUGUGUGUAGAGUAUCUAUCGUUGACAAAGAUUCCAGUUCGGUUGUCUGAUGACUCUGCUUGUUUUUAUCUCCAAUUAUUCCUGCAGAUAUGCAGUUUCUGGUUUUGUAGCUAGGUGCCUUCUUUUCUUUUCCUUUUUUUGAAAAAAAAUGAAAAAUGUUUGCUUCUGUUUUUAUUCUUACAUCUUCAGGUACUUCAUGAAGUAUAUAAUAUAGUUUAGCCUUUUUGUUACACUUGCUACAAUUGGGGUGAACAGUCAUACUUGUAUGAUUCCAUAUCAUAAUGUAUCUUUCAAGAAAGCUUUACUAGCAGAUGAUUUCUGUCGUUAUUUUCUUUGUAACCAAAUCACAGUUUGUCGCUCUUAUGUUUCUUUCAGUCCAUACUGAAUAAGCUGAACCCAAGAAAACCUGGUUCAGUGUGGUUGUUGAGACCUAUGUGCAAAAUGAAAAGUACUACAUUACACGGUACUUAAGAAUGGGUAUUUUCCCCAACCCAACCAAAUCCCAAACCUCUAAAAUGAUAUCAAGUAGAUUCUUCCCUUUAUGUGCGGCCAGUCUUCCAAUCUAAUGCUAUUUUUCAAUAAUGAUGGUAAUAAGAUUCCCCAUACAUAUUUAUGAUGCAUAUUAUUGAUAUAAAUUUUGAUAACCAAAUCCCCUUUUUUUGUUGAUUUAGUUAUUUGUCUGUUGAAUAGUUCUUGUUAUAAAUUCAUAGUCACGAUCAAAAGCAUAGCCUUGUAUAGUCUUAUGUAGAUGUUUCGAUUGGUAUGUUUUCUUUGUACUUUUGAACCUUGAAAGCAGUUUUACUAGUUCAUCACCACCUUGUUUGUUAACUGCUAGAUGAGGUAUAUUCUACAUCCCCCUAUUACUUCUCAACUGGUUUCUUGAUUUAUGUUCUUUCAUUUCUUCUUUUUAUGCCUUUUCUCUUGUUCAAUAGUUGUAAUAUUUACAGCUGAAUUAUGUCUGUUUGUUAAUGUUUUCUCAGUGUCUUGCCUUUUUCAUAAAGGGUAAAAUAUGCGUUCCGUGCAUUAAUUUUGUCAAGGAUCUCAACUUUUAUUUUUCAAGUUAGGAAACAACUUUUCCCCAAUUUAUUUUGUUUUCAGGGGAAAUGUGAAACAUGGUGAAUAGUUAGAAACACAGAUAGGAACCUUUCAACUGGAAUGAGUAUCUCAGUCUUCCUCAGAGCAUCUGUUGUUGGCCCUCACUUUUAACGUUUGUCGCCUCUCUCUGCUUUUCUUUCUCCUUUGUAUCUCGUCUCUCACACUCUCUCUACACCCUAAAAACCUGCACUCCAGCCCCACUCCCAAAGCCUGUCUGAGAGCCAUUCUUCGAAACCAAUAUGUGGACCCUCUUCUUCUUCAACACUCCCCCCCCCCCCUCUCUCUCUCCCUCUCUCCCUUCUCAAUGUUGUCAUCUCUGUCUCAGAUGUGAAACCAUUUGGUUGUGGAUAAUAAGUUUGAUGUGAAUAAUUCUUACGUGAUAAAUUUGAAUGAUAGAAUUUGGUAUCAUUUCAAGUUAAAUGGAGUCGACAAGAAUUUUGUUGAACUUGUGGAGAAAUGGAAGAUGCUACUUGUAUCAGAUAUAGAGCUGAUAUUGGAUAUUUGACAUUGCUUUAUUUCAUUGUAUCAGUUUCUUUGUGGUGUCGAAAUGGUUAUGGUACUUGUAUGGCAUAUAGAGCUGAUGUUGGAUGUUUGAUGUUGCUUUAUUUUGUUGUAUCAGUUUCUUUUUGGUGUUGGAAUGGUUAUACUGUACUUGUAUCUGUUUCUUUAUCUCUUCUUUUGGUGAUGCUUUAUAUUACUUUAUUUUAUUUUUAAAUCUGGAAUGGUUAUACUGUACUUGUAUUGGGUGUAUAUUUGGUGUUGGAUGUUUGAUUGAUAUGAAUGUUCCAGUUAAAAGGCUCUAACUCACAAUGGUUUUGGUUAGAUUUGCUACGUCCAUGGGAUAAGUCAAUUUCACUUUUGUGCCAUUUAAAGGGGCUCUAACUCACAAUAAAUGUUUGGUUCAUCCGCACGUCUUGUCAAAAUGCAUUAACAUUGGUUAUGUGUUUGGUUAUAAUACUUAGUUGAAGCUAAUUUUCAAAUAUUGCUGCUUAAUUGCAAAUUCUGUAAUUCAAUCCUUUCUCAUACUAACAAUGAAUUCAUUUUCACUGUUUUUGUUUUAAGAAAUAGUUUUCAAACUAUUCUACCAGACGCAUUCUCUAAUGUUAAAAUGCAAAAAUAUUAUCUUGUUUUCAUUUUUUGAAAACGUUUUAUGCAGAUGGUUUUGGAAAACAUCACCAGACAGGUCCUUACUUUUCUGUAUUGUCAACCUGUCUUCAGGUCAAGAGAUGCAUGGUUAUUUUGCACGAGAGGAUGAUAUUGGCGGUCCUAGGACUGUAAAGGAUAGCAGAUCAAUCGGAUCAGCAUAUGACCGCUAUCUUCAGAAUGCGGUGACUUUCUUAAGCAUUUGAAACUAUGCUUAUUAUUCAUUGUGAUACAGCUCCCUGUUUUUGUAUUUGUACCAAAACAUUAUCCUACUUUCUUUUAAAGGAAAUGCCUUCGUACACUUCUGGAGAAGCGAGUACUUUUGGUGGAGCUGGAAUGGGAAGGGCUGUUGGUGGUGGAAUGUCAGGUCCUCCAAUGGCUGAUCAUUCUAUGAGGGGUCGUCCUGGAGCUAUGUCUUCUGAUCUACUAACAAAUGGUCGAAAUAUGAAUCUUGCUAAUCAGCUCCCAGUAGAUGCAACGGCUAGGCCUGGACGUGAAACAGUUCCUUUGCCUCUGGAUGCAUCCAGCACUUUAUAUGUUGAAGGACUUCCUCCUGACAGCACAAGGAGGGAAGUAGCUCGUAUCCUUUAUGAUCUUUCUAUUAUGCUUAAGAGUUAGUGCAUUUUGCUGUUUCCAAUCUUAUUGCUUAACCCAAUAAAUUUUCCAUCGCUGAUCCUUUACAUUACUCCAAGAUAUCUUUCGUCCUUUUGUGGGAUACAAAGCAGUGAGGCUUGUGAGCAAAGAGUCCAAACAUGUAUGUGGGGGAGGAUUAUUGUAAACAAUUACUUUUCUUAGUCAUUCUGUUUUUAUUGUUCACUCUGACUUGAGAUUCUUGUUGUGCUACUUGAUUUGACUUUUGGGAAGUUUAUAAUCUGUCUUCACACUAAUAUUCCGGUUUGUCCAUAAUGCAGCGUGGUGGGGACCCUCUUAUUCUUUGUUUUGUGGAUUUUGAAAAUCCAGCCUGUGCAGCAACUGCUAUGAGUGCGUUGCAAGGUGAUUGCUUUUUCUUGUCAUCAACCUUGGUGGCUAUCAGUUUCAAAGAAAGCUUGUUUCUUCCUUUUGUUUUUAUUUGUUUCCUUUAUAACUUUGUAACUGCUAUUUCAAUGGUACCUUAUUCAAUCAUGUAAAUGGUAAAUUUAUGCUAGAAUUCUUCAUGCAUAGCCAGGUGUAAAGAGGAUGAGGCAGUUCACAAAAAUGUUAUAGAUGGUUUCUUGUAAUUGGAGUUUAUGAUACCUCUACACUCUAGAUCCUGUAGAACUAGCUUGCGUUGCUCAUUAUAAUUUCCCAUGCUAGUGGUUUUUGAAAUGCUGGAAGAUGCUGACAUUUGUGUUGCUUUCGCAGGUUAUGAAAUGGACGAACACGCUCCAGAUUCUAAUUACUUGCGGCUGCAGUUUUCUCGGUUCCCAGGUCCCAGGUCUGGACCUGGACGUAACAAGAGGUGAUAGGCAUUAGGUAAUGAGAAACAUCUGUGUUGACGUAAUCAAGAUUAUAUUAGCUCUUAUACAUUCCAUAUAUAUUCUCCUUUCUGUAGUGGUAACCACAUUGUACCCAGAAUAUACAAUGUUAAUUGCUCAGGCUUGGGCACACACUAACUGUAAGUACUUGUUAUGCACGCUGUUGUUUCCAGGUAGUGAAUUCAGAUAGUUUUAUAGUAGUUCUAUUUAACGGAGAUCUGAUUUUGCAUUUCCAUGGUCUACGAAAUUUACUGAAGGAAUGUUUUUAAUUCUGAAUAUCUUCUUCUCUUUGACGAAAUUUACUGAAGGAAUGUUUUUAAUUCUGAAUAUCUUCUUCUCUUUGACAAUAUACCAUGUAUAGACUACCGCAAAAUUAGUAGAGAUAGUUUCCAUACAGAUUGUUUCCAUAUUCUGGAGGACUUCCAUUGCCGGAGUAUCUUGCCACCAUAGUGUCCCGUGCCAAUGACAUAAUGUGUUGUGGAGACACUUCAAAUGGCACUAGGCAUGUGUUGUACCUGUCCCAUGAAAGUUGCUCUCCAUAUUUAGAAGCGGGAAUCAUUCUUGGGGAUGGAGAUACAUAUGAAGAAGAAUAAAACCCUAAUCAAAGGGGUGAAAUCUUCCACAUUUGAUCACCAAAUUAGGUGGCUUAAGCAUUCAAGUGCAACAUGAAAUGAACUGCCUCCGUACAAGAGUAGUUAGAAGCAAUCUGGAUGUUGCAAUCCUAAUGGGCCAAGAGUUGGAUUAUAGAACUAGAAAUGCUUGUAGUCUUAUAGAUGUGGCUAGCUGCCGAGGCACAAUCCCCUUGAAAACUAGUGGUUUUUUAGCAUGAUUUGCAGGCUUCCGUUAUAGAUAUUGUAUGGGAAGUGAUUUCCCAACUCUCUUUCUUACCUCGUACAACUCCCUUUUUUCUUAGGUUUAGGGUUGGAUAAAUUAAAGGAGAAUCAAUUAAAAGAACAAAAGGUGAAUGCAUAAGGAGAAAACGAAUGAAACCCUAAUCAAAGUUGUGAAAUCUUCCACAUUUGAUCGCCAAAUUACUGAUGGAGAUGCUGCUUUCUCCUUGUAUUUAGGGUUGGAUAAAUCAAAGGAGAAUUAAACGAAAGAAACAAAAGAUGAAUAACGUGAUUGCAGGAGGAGAAAACGGGAAUGUGAAGAUCACUACCCUAUUUAAUUUGUCUUUUAUUGUAGGUUGCACUGCCUGUAGAACUGUAGAAGAGCAAAGACAGUGCAUGAUGAGAAUAGACAGUGCAUGGUGUCAUGUCUAUUGGUGUUAGAAAUUUGAUCCGAGUCUUUCCUUUUUGGAUUACAGUGAAGGACUGAGGCUUAUGCUAUAUCGUCCCUCCCAAUGCUAAGCACUAGCUAGUGGGCUGCCGAUUACAUCACAUGGGCUUUGAACUCUGUCAAUUAUUUCAAAAGACCUUUGCCUCUUCAAUGAGAGCCUCUAACCCAUAAUCCUAUGCUCCUAGAGCUAGAGCUUCUCCCCACCCUUCUUGGCAUUAACACACAGCUGGGAUAUACUUUUGUAUCUGUUUCUUCACGUGAUUAAUGAUUCGUUUGAUUGCUUUCUUCAAAAGGCACUUAUACUGUAACUGCUUUUGUUGUAAACACUUUGAUUUUUUUUUAUUGAACAUCCAAAGUGUUACACAGAAAAAAGCACUUAAAAAGUGCCUCCUGAAAGAGCAUAUGAUAGGUGCUUCUCUAAAAAACACUAUUACGAGCCAAAAGCACUUCUAAAUUUUUUUUGCCAAGCACAACAUAAAACGCUUUUGGCUUUUAUAGAAGCAAUCUCAAACGAGCCCUAAGUAAAAAGAGGUUUAUAUAGGCCACUAGACCCAAACGAAAGAGAAAACUAAUAGUGGGCAAUGAAUUGGUUUUCGAUCUACCGUCAAAUUGGCAUAGAUUAUGAUUCUCUCCCUUCUUCUUUCCAUCCCCUCCUCUCACAUUCUCUAUUUUGUCUUUCUCUUUCUAUAAAAACUUAAUAUAAGAUGUUGACGUAGCUUAACCGUGACCGUUCAAAUAAGAGGGGAGGGAAGGGGAGGGAAGAAAAGAGGGGAGAGAAUCCUACUCCAAUUGGCACAACAUUCGGCAUUGUUUUGCAAGGAUGCUUUCUUCUUAGCAUUGAUUUACACACACUCUAGUAUGUGGUAUAAAACGAGCGAGGGUUUGGCUGGAGAACGAGUCUGAGUCGUUAAUGCCAUGUGGGCUGGAGGGUUUCAUUUGGUGCCAUUACUCCUUUUCGUGUUUCUAUCAUCCUUUUGGAACUGGAAGAGAAGUGGAGGGGAAAAAGGUAGUUUAGGGCAAAAAGGAUAUUGAGUUUAUAAACCAGGAAAAUGGCUAAGCAAUUAUUUGGUGCCAAUGUGACCCUUACCAAAAUAUAGACUAGUUGUGGUAAAAAAGAAAAAGGCAAAAGGGGGUAACUUUAAAUACAAAUUGUACCAAAGUGUAAAUUGUCCCACAGCUUGUCCAGGGACCAGAUCAUUGAGUUGUUGCUGCAAGCCUGCAAGGAGAAAGUUGUGGAUUAGAUAGACGCAUCGUCUUCGUUUGGUAUCAUUCCAAGUCGUCCUGGGUGUUUCUUCUUCAAUUUGGCCUCUUUCUUCCUUUGGAUUUUUGAGCUCAUGAGCAAAUUGAUUGUCGUUUUCUGUUUCCUGAAGACAAAAUUUGACUGUUUGAAAAAACACUUUUUCAUGAAAAAUUAGUUUGAAAUCUAUUCUACACCUAAAUGGACAUCAAUCAUUAAUUUUGUGUUAACUAAGAAUGUAUGUAUGAAUUCUUGUAUUAGGAUUUAGUAGUAUCUCUCUUUAUUUUUAAGUGAGAAACCUUAAGUUUGAUUCUCAUAAAUUACGAGUUCGAAACCAAACUCUUCUCGGCCCAUUAGUGUAACUCUGUUAGGCUUUCAUCCCUGAUAUCGUUGUAUAACAAAACUAUAUGCAUGAAUUAUUACUUGAGGACGGAGGAAAAAACAAAUUCACUUGACUUAUUUCCAAAUUAAGGCUUUAUUUCUUCCUGAUUUUAGAAUUACCUGAUUAUCUAGCCUAUGCUCAUACCACAUUGAACUUCAACGAUUCAAACUGUUUAUUUUUUAAGUUGCACCUCAUAGAUCAUUUUUGUGAAAUAUUAGCUAAAUUAAAAAUAUAUGAGGUAUCUAAUUGAGUACAAAAAAAAAUUGACGAACACUAUAUAUUCUAAGAAGCAUAUGAAAUUUCAUCUUAACAAUUAAAUAGGCAAAUAAUUUCGGAUUGAAUUAAAUUUUUGUAAGGAUUGUCUAUUAAUUAAGACUUAUAAAAUAGAAGGUACAUAUCGUUGAAAUUUAAUAUACUGUAAGCUCCACAACUAAUCCUCAUUUAAAAAAAAUAGAAAUCCCUUGUUAAGGCAUGUGCUUUUGAGUAGGUAAAAUUUGAAACGUGAGAUGUCGUUCACUAUGGAAACAAAGAUCGAAAGCCUUCAUGGUCCCAUUCCUUGAAUCAGAACAAAAGAACUUUAAAGAAAAGUCCUUUAACUCUGUCCAACUUUGGAUACUUUUGUUCAUGCAUGCAUUCACUGACUGAUCUGAUCUCGUUGUUUUGAAGGGAAGAGAUUUUUCAGUGUAAUCGGUAUAUGAGUUGGUACAUCACUUGUUAAUAUACAAAUGAUGAGAUAUAUGUGUUAAAAAGUUAAUAACUUAAAAAAUAAAAUUUUCCACCACUUACAUAAAAACAUGUGAUAUACUACUUGUAUUUCCGUCACAAUGAAAAAUUUCUCCUUGAAGGAUAAGAGAGGAAAUUCCAGACUAAACUACGUGGCACUACAUGCAGCAUGUCAAUUACAUCAACUCUUCAAGCUUUCAACCCUUUCAUGGCAUCUUCAAAGCAUAUGCCUAACUUCUUAGAAAUAUGACCAACAUCUAACAUUUUUGUAAUCCAUAAAGAAAUACAUACGUUAACAUUUAGAAACAAAAUCCAGACAAUAAGAGAGAGAUGGCUGUCCAGAAAAAAAGUAAGAGACAGAUGCAUCCAUUGAUAUAAAAAAGAAAGAAAAAAGAGAUGCAUCAACAACUCAAUAUUUAUUACCUAUUGAAUCGCAGUUUUACAUACAUAUCAUUGCUAAUGAGAUUGGCACUAUUAGUUAUCGAGGACAUAGCAAUCUGUAUUGUAUUUACAAUUAUAUGAGUUAAACUUCAUACAUCCUCCGAUUAAAUGACAAUAACUACUAUAAAAAUGUUUAUAUGUAAGUAGGCUACAUAAAUACACAUAAACAAAUAAGUUCUUGUAUAUAUGCUAUACUUUGAUUUGUUUAUAACAGGAAAAGGUUCCACAUUAUUGCUAGCUAGGCUAAGCUCACAUCCCUCUCACUUAAUGUAGAUAAUAUCAUUUGUUAAAAAUAAAAAAAAGACUCAACAAGGAAUCACUAUUUGUUUCUUUAUAACCAUAAAUUUAUGUAGAGCAACCGAUUGAGUAUCUCAAAGUUCUUAUUCGUAUACAACACACGUUGAGACAGGUAAUAAUUAUAACAAAAUUAAAGACUAUAAUCUUAUAACGUUUUUAGAUUAGCUAAAACAUUGGUAUACAUAUUUAGCUUGCUAAAAACAUAUGUCGAAAUGUGCCACACCUGGAGGAUUUGUAACAAAUUCAUCGUUUUAGAACAAUAAGAAAUGACACGUUGCCUGUAAGAAUUUUAUAGUUUGUUGAAUGCCAUCAACAUCCAUCACGUUUGAAAAUAUGGGCGGCAUUGUCUGGGUUGUAAGACCCCUAUAUUCGUUUGUUCCUGUGCUAAACAAGGAUGGCCUCCCUUGCCCUCCUCUUUAGAUUUCUGUUAGGAUGAGAUUAAGGUGACUUGGGGCUUGUUCCAAGUUUGUGUUUUCUACCUUCUUCUCAUUGUGUAGUUCUUGUUGGUCUCUCUAGGCCUUCUGUUUCUUUUGGCUUCGGCCCUGGUAUUGAUUUUCCCAGUUUCUCAAAAAAAAAAAAAAAAAAAAGUUAUGGGAGUCCCUCUCUCACAUUAAUAAAGUCUGGACCCAAGAAAAAGCAAAAGGAUCCGGCAAGGAUCCGUUUGCCGGAUCCUUUUCCACAGGUUUGGGUACAUUAAUGAUCACUACAAGAAAAAGGAAAAGGAUCCGGCAAUAAAGUUUGGACCCAAGAAAAAGGAAAGGGAUCCGGCAGGGAUCCGUUUGUUGGAUCAUUUCAAAAUUUAAAAUUUAAAAUUAAAUAUAAAUAAUACCUACAAAAACUGACCGCACAAUGUAUGAUGAACGAUCACGAUCACGGGAUCCCUAGGAAAAGAAUCCGGCGAGGAUCCUUUUCCCGAGAAAAGUAGGCUUUAGUCACGAUUUGUUAAGAUUAAUCUAACCUAAAAGCUAUACCACAUUCUAAACACAAAAUUUGGUAAGAAUAUGAUGAUUUAUUUUAUUUUCUCAAACUAUAGAGCAGUUACGUACUCACACACCGGCGACAAUUAUCCUCCCCCAAAUCUGGGUAUAUUUCUACUAAAAAAAAUGUUUACAUAUAGAAACCGUAUAGUAAGUUUAUUGAAAUUGGCUCUGUAUUAAUGGAAUCUCCGCAUCCGUACAUUAAAUUAGAGUGGAACUCGAGGAAAUGGAGUACAUACGAAGAUAAGAAGACGAAGAAGAAAACUACAAACUUGGAGCUUCAAGGAGAGGGACUGAGCAGGGAGUAUAAAGAAAACAUUGUAUUUUUCUUCGAAGAUCUUUCACAUUUUCUUCUUGGUUUCAAGGAGAGGGAACUGAGCAGGGAGUAUAAAGAGCCAAAGCCCAGAAUUCCACAAUGAAAAAGAAAACAUUGUAUUUUUCUUCGAAGAUCCUUCACAUUUUCUUCUUCGCUUUACAGAAUCAAAUAGCAUAUUCUCACCCCCAAGAAACGAUAUAAGAAAACAGCCAAAUUAAGGUAAAUUCGAUAUAAUGCAUUUUUUUAUAGCAACUUGGCAAACAAAAACAUAGUAGAAGAAAACAAGGAAUAUACAAAGAAAUUAAGGAAGUUUGGGAAAACGAAGAAAUAUAAUAAAGGACCAACUCUCAAUGAGUUUAUAAUACUAUAUACGGUGCAAAUGUAUAUGUUCAGGAAAUAAACUUUUAGCGAAAAUAAGCUGCAAAUUUGACUAAAUUUUUCUUCAUAUUUACACUCAAUUUUUUUCAAGAAUAUAUAUAGAGUUUGGCCAAAGGAAUUAACUUCGUUCCUUAACGAUUGAGGAGGAGUUCCUCCCCAAUUCACAUUGUGGCUGAUUAUGGACCUUCAUUCUUAUAAUCGGAAGAGUAUAGAAACUACUCUUUUUAUCGUCGAAUCCGGAAGGAAGAAGUGGUUGUAGCUUUGAAGAAGAUGAAGCAUAAAAAAGCAAUAGGCCCAGACGAUAUACCAAUCGAAGUGUGGAAACUUUUGGGAGAGACGGGUAUAACAUGGCUCACUGACCUUUUCAAUAGGAUUUUGAAAACGAAGAAGAUGCCAAAUGAGUGGCGAACGAGCACUUUGGUGCCUAUCUACAAGAAUAAGGGCGACGUACAAAAUUGCAUGAACUAUAGGGGUAUUAAGCUAAUGAGUCAUACAAUGAAGCUCUGGGAGAGAGUCAUUGAGCAUAGAUUGAGGCAAGAGACACGGGUUUCGGACAACCAAUUCGGGUUCAUGCCAGGGCGCUCAACCAUGGAGGCAAUCUAUCUCUUACGAAGAUUGAUGGAAAGAUAUAGAGAUGGGAAAAAGGAUUUACACAUGGUCUUUAUAGAUUUGGAAAAAGCGUAUGAUAGGGUCCCAAGAGACAUUCUUUGGAGGAUUUUAGAGAAGAAAGGAGUACGAGUAGCAUAUAUCCAAGCUAUAAAGGAUAUGUAUGAAGGAGCAAAGACUGCCGUAAGAACUCAUGAAGGACAAACCGAAAGCUUUCCCAUAACUGUAGGAUUACAUCAAGGCUCAUCCUUAAGUCCUUACCUUUUUGCGUUGGUAAUGGAUGAGUUAACAGGACAUAUUCAAGAUGAUAUUCCUUGGUGUAUGCUUUUCGCAGACGAUAUAGUGUUGAUAGAUGAAACUCAGGAAGGGGUAAAUGCAAAGCUUAACCUUUGGAGAGAAGUGUUGGAAUCUAAAGGUCUUCGCCUAAGCCGAUCAAAGACAGAAUAUAUGGAGUGCAAGUUCAGUGCAAAUGGAGGCCAAAACGAGUUAGGGGUGAGGAUCGGAGAUCAAGAAAUACCAAAGAGCGACCGUUUUCGUUACCUAGGAUCUAUCUUGCAAAAGAACGGAGAAUUAGAUGGAGAUCUCAACCAUAGAAUACAAGCUGGAUGGAUGAAGUGGAAGAGUGCAUCCGGCGUGUUGUGUGACCGCCGUAUGCCACUGAAGCUCAAGGGAAAAUUUUAUAGGACGGCAAUAAGGCCGGCGAUGCUGUAUGGCACAGAAUGUUGGGCGGUGAAACAUCAACACGUACACAAAAUGGGUGUAGCGGAGAUGAGGAUGCUUCGUUGGAUGUGUGGGCACACGAGAAAGGAUAAGAUUAGGAAUGAGGAUAUCCGGGGUAAAGUAGGAGUAGCCGAAAUUGAAGGAAAGAUGAGAGAAAAUCGGUUACGGUGGUUUGGACAUGUGCAAAGAAGGCCUACUGACGCUCCGAUUAGAAGAUGCGACUAUGGGACAGAGGUUCAGGGCCGAAGGGGUAGAGGAAGACCUAGGAAAACUUUGGAAAGAGACUCUAAGAAAAGACUUAGAGUACUUGGAUCUAACGAAGGACAUGACACAGGAUCGAGCACAAUGGCGUUCUAAGAUUCAUAUAGCCGAUCCCACUCAGUGACUUGGAUUUUCCAAGUCUCCAACCGAGAAGUUUUCCUCACUCGGGAAAUUAAGGGAACACUACCCCAACCUACAUGCUCCACUCAGAAAGCUUCAACAUACAAGCUUCAACAAAAGAAAAUUCAAAGAACUUAGCGAAGAAGGCUUUGGUGUAUUUAACACAAUACGUUGAAAUGAAGGAAAGCUUAUUUAUUGAUAUCCCCGAUAAGCUACAAAUAUGUACAUAUACAUGAGUCAAAAUAAACACACAAGAGGGAGCCUUCACAAAGGUUGCUUAGGAGAAGUCUCAGCAGUCGGUAGAGCCCCAGAAAGAGAAGGCACCGGAGGGGGAUCAUUUGGAGCCUCAGUACUGGACAGAACCCUAGAAGGAGGAGGCAUCAGAGGUUGAUCAUUUGGAGCUUCAUUACGCGGUACAGCCCCAGAAGACGAAGGCAAUAAAUGCCUUUGGAACAAACCCACAAAUCUCUGAUGAUCAAGUAAAACCUGACCAUCAGUUUCCUUCAUCUGGUCAAGCUUCCUCUUCAUGUUUGUAGCAUAGUCAUGUGCGAGCCGGUGCAACUGUUUAUUCUCAUGCUUGAGCCCUCUAAUCUCCUGUUUGAGACUCAUCACUUCAGCCGCCAAUGAUUCAACUUGGCGGGUUCGAGCAAAUAGGCGUUGGGCCAUAUUAGACACAGAACCUGCACACUGAACACUGAGAGCCAGCGAAUCCUUAACAGCUAACUCAUCAGACCGUUUGGAAAGUAGUCUGUUAUCUUUGGGAGUGAGAAGGUUCCUGGCCACCACCGCAGCGGUCAUAUCAUUCUUCAUCACGGAAUCCCCAACGGUAAGAGGACCAGUAGGGGAGACGAAGGAUGGGCGCCAUAUGUUGUCUGGAGAAGGCGGGGCUGCCUCUUCAACAAGGUUCAAGUCAAAACGACGGUCGGAGGGGCCAGACAUUUUCAAAGGUGUUGAAGAGAGAAGAGGUCGGACAAAUCAAGAUCUUAGAAGUGCAAGAAUGAAGCUUCUACUGGUGGAGAUUCAAGUGUGCUUUGGAACUUAAUGCCAGCCCCUAUAAAAAUCUGCACUCGACGGAGCUCGCCUGCUCAGAAAUCGAAGAGGCGUUUGCUUUCUCAAAAGCUGGGCUGCUUAGAGAUCACGAGGGUUGAUCUCAGAAAUCGAAGAGGCGUUUGCUUUCUCAAAAGUUGGGCUGCUCAAAGACCACGAAGGCCGAUCUCAGAAAUCGAAGAGGCGCUCGCUUUCUCAAAAGCUGGGCUCCCCAGAGACCACGAGGGCCGAUCUCAGAAAUCGAAGAGGCACCUACUUUUCCAGCCUUGUCAGCACCUGUCACACGCACACUCAGCUUUGCGGAAAUUAUGGGCAUUCUGUCGAAGACUUCUGGGGAAGUAGAAAACACAUGAAUCUUACUGUUCAAUCACCCACUUCCCACACGCAACAAUAGCUCAUGGGUACCACAGAUAACUUUGCCAAAGUUCUCUGCCAAAGUUGAGCACGUGAAGCUUGCAGCUCCCACUACAUCGCUCUGACCAAGAAGGGUAAAAGAAUAGCAAAGAAACAGCACUAACAAAGUUUAGACCCAUAAAUUUUGAAGGUCUAGCUACCAUAUUAUUACCCACAAGGGUAAAGGAACAGUACCACUGCUGGAUAAUUGGAAAGUCCCUGUGUGUCAACCUCUGUGCUUCGUGGCAAGGUAGACUAGCAAACAUGCCCAACCUUUACUCACAUUCGAGAAAACACUCCCAAUAAGAUUGCUUGCUCCAAAAUCGAAGAGGCACCGUCCUCCGAAUCUCGAGAGCCAGACUCCCAACAUGACUACUUUCUUAAAAAUCGAAGAGAGGGUAAAGGAACAGUACCAUUGCUGGAUAAUUGGAAAGUCCCUGUGUGUCAACCUCUGUGCUUCGUGGCAAGGUAGACUAGCAAACAUGCCCAACCUUUACUCACAUUCGAGAAAACACUCCCAACAAGAUUGCUUGCUCCAAAAUCGAAGAGGCACCGCCCUCCGAAUCUCGAGAGCCAGACUCCCAACAUGAUUACUUUCUCAAAAAUCGAAGAGACACUGCUCCCCGAAUCUUCGAGAGCCAGACCCCCAGCAUGAUUGCUUUCUCAAAAAUCGAUGAGGCAUCGUUCUCCGAAUCAAUCGAAGAGGCGCUCGCUUUCUCAAAAGCUGGGCUGCUCAGAGACCACGAGGGCCGAUCUCAGAAAUCGAAGAGGCACCUACUUUUCUAGCCUUGUCAGCACCUGUCACACGCACACUCAGCUUUGCAGAAAUUAUGGGCAUUCUGUCGAAGACUUCUGGUGAAGUAGAAAGCACAUGAAUCUUACUGUUCAAUCACCCACUUCCCACACGCAACAAUAGCUCAUGGGUACCACAGAUAACUUUGCCAAAGUUCUCUGCCAAAGUUGAGCACGUGAAGCUUGCAGCUCCCACUACAUCGCUCUGACCAAGAAAGGUAAAAGAAUAGCAAAGAAACAGCACUAACAAAGUUUAGACACAUAAAUUUUGAAGGUCUAGCUACCAUAUUAUUACCCACAAGGGUAAAGGAACAGUACCACUGCUGGAUAAUUGGAAAGUCCCUGUGUGUCAACCUCUGUGCUUCGUGGCAAGGUAGACUAGCAAACAUGCCCAACCUUUACUCACAUUCGAGAAAACACUCCCAACAAGAUUGCUUGCUCCAAAAUCGAAGAGGCACCGUCCUCCGAAUCUCGAGAGCCAGACUCCCAACAUGACUACUUUCUCAAAAUCGAAGAGAGGGUAAAGGAACAGUACCAUUGCUGGAUAAUUGGAAAGUCCCUGUGUGUCAACCUUUGUGCUUCGUGGCAAGGUAGACUAGCAAACAUGCCCAACCUUUACUCACAUUCGAGACAACACUCCCAACAAGAUUGCUUGCUCCAAAAUCGAAGAGGCACCGCCCUCCGAAUCUCGAGAGCCAGACUCCCAACAUGAUUACUUCCUCAAAAAUCGAAGAGACACUGCUCUCCGAAUCUCGAGAGCCAGACCCCCAGCAUGAUUGCUUUCUCAAAAAUCGAAGAGGCAUCGUUCUCCGAAUCUCGAGAGCCAGAUACCACAGACCACUUUUUCAAAGUGCUCUGACAGAGUUAAAACAUGUGAAACUGGCAGCUCCCACUACCGUGCUAUGACCAAGCAGGGUAAAGGAAUAGCAUUACUACUUGUUGUUAGGGAGACUCCUAUAUAUGUCGACCUCCAUCCCCAACGGACAGGCAGACCUGCAAAAAUGCUCAACCCUUCAUCAUAUCUGAGAGGGCACUCCCAACGAAGCCUUUCGAAAUAUUCAGCUUUCUUUCCCCCCGAUAAUACCUCUGCAAACAAGCUAUACUAGAGCAAGAAUAUCUCAUAUCAUCAGGGUUAAAAGCAAGAGUAUCCCAUAUCAUGCUUUUUCCCUGUCUUUUCCUUUGGCCUUGUUUUUACCUGCAAGACAAGGAGAAAGAGAGCAAUCAGUCAGCACUUGGAAUCAAGCUUCCAGCCAGGAACUGACUGCCUGGAACCCCUUACCUGAUUACUUACCUGGCAUUGCUCUCGAGUACUCAUCUUCAACAUCUUAUGUUUCCAGGGAAGAUUCCGCAUCUGCUUGAGGAACAGAUAGGGCAAGUGCGAAGGAUACAAGGAAGCAUGUGGAGACAAGCGUAACAGCACACGUGCCGAUACAUCCAUUACUCUGUCAAAAGCAAAAGUAUCCCAUAUCAGCAGGGUGGAACGUACUCUAGAUUUGAUGGACUUGUUUUGACCCUCAAAUUCUUCAGUCGGCCUUAUACUCUGGAGGAAACCAGAAAACCCUCCAGCUCAGUUCAAGAAUAAGCCUGUGGAAAGUUACUUCUUCAAAAGCAAAAGUAUCUCAUAUCAUCUCUUCUCAUUUUUCUUCUCUUUAUCCUUCAUGCUGCUGCAAGAUGGGGAGAAGGUGAACAAUCAGUCGGAGCUCUGAUUGCUUACCUUGUCUGUCACCUCUUUCAGCAGACCCCCUAGCUCGGCGACUUGGGGGACUCCUACUACAUGGUUUGUAUCGCGCUUGACCAAGCCUGAAACUACAAGUAAGCUUCAAGUGAAAUUGAUACAUUACCUUGUGCAUCUCCACCAGUUAAAGAUACCACCCCUGGAUGGAGGAAGAGUACUUCCAGAGAAGAUGCCACAUCUACCUAUGAGACAGAUAAGGCAAGUCAAGACGACACCACACUCCGAUACUUAGAAGUUUCGUGAUUACGAGAUCAUUCUCCCACAAUAUUUCCUAAUGUCAUUUGUACUAAAUCAUUCACUUGUACUCACUAAAGGAGAGCUUGAACCUAUGUACUUGUGUAAACCCUUCACAAUUAAUGAGAACUCUUCUAUUCCGUGGACGUAGCCAAUCUGGGUGAACCACGUACAUCUUGUGUUUGCUUUCCUAUCUCUAUCCAUUUAUAUACUUAUCCACACUAAUGACCGGAGCAAUCUAGCGAAGAUCACAAAAAGCGACCGUUUUCGCUACCUAGGAUCUAUCUUGCAAGAGAACGGAGAAUUAGAUGGAGAUCUCAACCAUAGAAUACGAGCUGGAUGGAUGAAGUGUAAGAGUGCAUCCGGCGUGUUGUGUGACCGUCGUAGGCCACUGAAGCUCAAGGGAAAAUUUUAUAGGACGGCAAUAAGGCCAGCGAUGUUGUAUGGCACAGAAUGUUGGGCGGUGAAGCAUCAACACGUACACAAAAUGGGUGUAGCGGAGAUGAGGAUGCUUCGUGGGAUGUGUGGGCACACGAGAAAGGAUAAGAUUGGGAAUGAGGAUAUCCGAGGUAAAGUAGGAGUAGCCGAAAUUGUAGGAAAGAUGAGAGAAAAUCGGCUCCGGUGAUUUGGACAUGUGCAAAGAAGGCCGAAUGACGCUCCGGUUCGAAGAUGUGACUACGGGACAGAGGUUCAGGGCCGAAGGGGUAGAGGAAGACCUAGGAAAACUUUGGAAGAGACUCUAAGAAAAGACUUAGAGUACUUGGAUCUAACGGAGGACAUGACACAAAACCGAGCGCAAUGGCGUUCUAGGAUUCAUAUAGCCGACCCCACUUAGUGGGAAAAGGCUUUGUUGUUGUUGUUGUUGUUGUAUUCUUAUAAUCGGAAUUAUUCAUAUUAUAAAUUACUGUGUCAAUAUCAUCUCCACAAAAAAAAUCAAUUAAAUAUAAGAUCGUUUGGUCAUGAAACUGUGUAAAAAUAGAUGAACCGAUCCGGUACAUGAAUUCCGAAACUUCUAUCUACUUGCUAUAAUUUAUUGACUAAACAAUCUUAGUUUUAAUUAAUUUUUUUUAGAGAUGAUCUUUAAUUAUAAAGUAAUUUAUAAUAUGAAUGAUUCUGAUCAUAAGUACGAACUUCUUCUCAAUCUUGAGAAGCCAAGCCUUCCUCAAAAGUUAAAUAAAAAACAAAACCAAAAUGAUGCUCGGCUUCCUGGGUACUCAGCUAAACUCUCCACCUCCUUUCAUCUUACAAGCUUCUAGAUUUAGAUUUGUCUCAAAUGACAUGCCAACUAAUCUGCCCAGCUCAAUUUUGAUUCUUUGAAAUUUCCAGUGCCUCUACUUUUUCAUUUCUAAAUCUUACUUACUCCCAUUAUAUAUAAUUAGUUUUUUUUAUAUAUAUAGAUUUAUAAAGAUGCUUUGUCUAGAUAUGAAAGACAUAGUAGUGAUUCAAAGAGAUCAUUUGGAGCCAAAAAUAGUUAGGUGUAGUCAAAUUCGGAUUUGAGAGUAUUUUAAAAGACUUUAAAAUCCUAGUAUAGUCAAUUAAAAGAUUUUAAAGGAUUUUAAACUCUAUCCAAAUCUAAGUGUAUUAAAAAAAUUAAGAUUUUGGAGGAUUUCAAUAAGUUGUGGAUUUUGUAGGAUUUGAAAGCAAGAAGUAUGUCACAGUCCCGGAGAUGUACGUUAAUUAUUUAUCGGAGGUGUGAAAAGUCGGAGUUACCCCUGGACGUUGAGUUGUAUUAUUGGUUUAAUUGUGUUUUUGGACCAAUAUUAUUAAAUCCUAAUUGUUUGGAAUCAAUUAGGAUUAGAGUUUGGUGUAUUGUGGGUUGUUGACUAUUUUGGACCACACAUCACUCCAUUCUCUCUCUCACUCCCGUGCACUCUCUCUCGGUUUCACUCUCUCUCUCCUUUGAACUCGUACGGACAAUCACCCAAAACCCUUGAAACUUCACGGAUCGUGGUCAAGGUUGGCACCAUUGUGUUCGUGAAGCUCAGACGAGUCGAUUGGUACCCAUUUCAGGUAAAGAUACCUUCGAAAACCCUAGUUUUUCAUAACCCCCGAUUUGUGCAUUGUUCAUGCACACGUAAUUAUGGAUGGUUUUGGAAUUUGAAGCUUGUAGGAAGCUUAGUGAGGUCCUAAGGAAGCUCGAAGUGCUUCGUUUGAAGGUUUUGGACGUUGGGAUCGUGUGGAUGAAGUUUGGCCAGUUUUUCUUGGAAUUCUCCGGUGAGAUCCCGUGACUUUUAAAACUUUAAAUUAGUAUGAUUGUGUUCUACAAGUUAAGAGCUUCAUUUUGGUAUAAAUUGCGUAAAAAAUGGUGCAAAAAUGAGCAAUAAAUAGGCAGUUGCAGGUUUGCCCAAAAUCCGGUGCCGGUGACACUAUUCCAGCAUCUGGAGGUUGAAGAUGCCGCGCGUGGGGGGCGCGUUUUGCCAUGCCCUUGCCGGAUGAUUGUGUUCUACAAGUUAAGAGCUUCAUUUUGGUAUAAAUUGCGUAAAAAAUGGUGCAAAAAUGAGCAAGAAAUAGGCAGUUGCAGGUCUGCCCAAAAUCCGGUGCCAGUGACAUUAUUCCGGCGUCUGGAGGUUGAAGAUGCCGCGCGUGGGAGGCGCGUUUUGCCGUGCCCUUGCCAGCGCAUGGGAGCUUGAAAAUUUUAUCUAAAAAUUUAGGGAUGAUCCUGAGGUUGUAUAGGUCACUGUGGUGUAUUCAUAUACCUAUUUUGAGCAAUGUAUGAAAAGUUAUUAGUUAGUUUCACCUAUGUGCUUUAAAAUAACGUUUUUAUAGUUAAUUCGCAUAUAGGUGAGGCUUAUCCCAAGGACGAGCGUAUCCACGGGCGACUCGGGGGCUACGACCCUUCGACAUACCAGUGAGUGGGAUUUUGUUUUCAGUAUAUACUUAUACACUAGAUAUAUUUCCUAGAAAUGCAUUUUUUUCAAGGAAACUAUGCUUUGAAAUAGUAUGCCAAAUGCUUUUAUAUUCUGAAUAUGCAUUUCAUGGUUGCAUAUAUAUAUAUAUAUAUAUAUAUAUAUAUAUAUAUAUGUGGUGUUGUGGAGGCACAGGUAAGUUCAGGUAAGUUAUGUUUGGUUAUAUGAAUCAUCGAUAAAGUGAUAUGUGAUUGAAUAAUGUUGAGCUUAUAAAACUGCACCUAAGGUGAUUGUGAUUUAGCCAGAGAUGUGAAGUACAUGCCUGUUUAUUUACGUCACCUCCCGCACUAUAUGCUCAUAUUGGAUCUAAUUUAAGUGCACAGUUUUGUCGUACAGACCUUAUUUAUGGUUCCGACUCGUAGGUGACUAGCGAUUUAUCGCCCGGCUAUUAUGAGAGAGUAAAAUUGAGCAUAAUUAUAUUACACCCAAUCUUGUCUUACAGACCCCUUUUUAGUGGUUCCGACUUAUGUGCAGUACAUUGCCGUAUAGGUCAUUGUAGUGACUCCGGCUAGAUUGACUUUGAGCUAUGAAUUCAACCGUACAGACUAUCACAGGGGUUCCGGCUAACAUAUCAUAUUUCUAUGAAUUUAUUCUUACCUGAAUUGUUUACUCUGUUAUAACUUGGCAUAACAUACAUUUAAAUAUGAUUAUGUGAAGCAUGAAUUGAAUUGAUAUGAUUUCAUAUAUAUAUAUAUAUAUAUAUAUAUAUAUAUAUAUAUUAUGUAUAUGCUUAUAUCUUGGUUUUGGGAAAAAUUAUACAUGUUUGACAGCGAGGGGUUAGUAUAUUGAUAAAUGAAAUGGUUUUGUAAAACAUUUGUUUUUGCCCACUCACGUUUUCUGUUUUGCUCCCUUCCAGGUUUUAACUAAGCUUGCUGUUGGUGGCUUGAGGACGUCGGCAGUUUUGACUUAUCUAAAUAAUAGUAGGACAUUGCUGGUACUGUAUAGCUAGUACUUGUCUUACUGGACUACACCUAGACUUUAUGCUCUGAUUAGGAGUGUUUACUGUUGUAACUAACUUCUAUCACUUUCUGUUUAGUAGUGCACUCUAGUAAAUUGGUUUUCAAUUAUUCGUAUAAUUCUUAUCAUUAUCGCUUCCGCACUGUGCACAUGGCUACGCACCCUCACGUGACGGUCAUCAUGGCUUGAUCUCGGUCGGGGUGUGUCAAAGUAUAUAUAACCAAGACUAAAAAUAAUCCAACCUCACCCUCUAGAAUUUCAAAUCAUUUUCCAUCUGAGCAGUCCUCAGAUCUCUACCAACCCCAGCUACACACAGGUAACCACCAUAUACUUUGGUGGAAUCUCUUAUUAUGACCCUUAGACUUUAAUUAGGCAUGUAUGAUCAUCGAAGGACAUGAUCGAUCUAGGAUUUUGGUUAAUACUACUCUCACACCAUUUUGAUUUUUUUUAAUGUUUGUGGUACUACAAGCACUAUUAAAGUACCACAGCAUCCAUUUGUGGGAAAAUGGCAGUCGGUGGUGAUGGUUGUUGGUGGUUUAGUGCUCAAAAGCUCACCAAAGUUAUAUUGAUCUAUCAAUUGAGAAAGAGAUAGAGCCGUGGUUGUGUGAAAGGGGACCCGAAAAGGGAGGGGAUAAAGUGGUUAUCGAGUACAGUAGGGCAAGGGGAAAGAUUUUUCCUUUUAUUUUCAAUUAAAAAAUUAUAUUAAUAUUAUCACAUCCCAUGCUCGACUCCACCGUAGCACGAUAUUGUCCGCUUUAGGCCCCGACCACGACCACAUGGUUUUGUUUUUGUGAACUCACGCGAGAACUUCCUAGUGGGUCACCCAUCUUGGGAUUGCUCUCGCGCGAACUCGCUUAACUUUUGAGUUCCGAUGGAAUCCGAAGCCAGUGAACUCCCAAAAAGCCUCGUGCUAGGUAGAGAUGAGAAUAUACAUAUAAGGCUUAGAGGAUCCACUCCCCUGGGCGAUGUGGGAUGUUACAAUCCACCCCCCUUAGGGGUCCGAUGUCCUCGUCGGCACACUUCCGACUAGAGAUUGGCUCUGAUACCAAAUUGUCAUAUCCCGGCCCGGGCCCCCACCACAUCCCAAGCUCGACUCCAUCGUAACAUGAUAUUGUCCGUUUUGGGCCCCGACCACACCUUCACGGUUUUGUUUCUAGGAACUCACACGAGAACUUCCCAGUGGGUCACUCGGUUUUGUUUCUAGAAACUCACAUGAGAACUUCCCAGUGGGUCACCCAUCUUGGAAUUGCUCUCGCGCGAACUCGCUUAACUUCGAAGUUCUGAUGGAACUCGAAGCCAGUGAGCUCCUAAAAGGCCUCGUGCUAGGUAGAGAUAAGAAUAUACAUAUAAGGCUUAGAGGAUCCACUCCCCUAGGCGAUGUGGGAUGUUAUAAUCCACCCCCCUUAGGGGCCCGACGUCCUCGUCAACACACUUCCGACUAGAGAUUGGCUCUGAUACCAAAUUGUCACAUCCCGGUCCGGGCCCCCACCACAUCCCAGGCUCGACUCUAUCGUAGCAUGAUAUUGUCCGUUUUGGGCCCCGACCACGCCCUCACGGUUUUGUUUCUAGGAACUCAGGCGAGAACUUCCUAGUGGGUCACCCGGUUUUGUUUCUGGGAACUCACACGAGAACUUCCCAGUGGGUCACCCAUCUUGGAAUUGCUCUUGCGCGAACUUGCUUAACUUCGGAGUUCCGAUGGAACCCAAAGCCAGUGAGCUCCCAAAAAGCCUCGUGCUAGGUAGAGAUGGGAAUAUACAUAUAAGGCUUAGAGGAUCCACUCCCCUGGACGAUGUGGGAUGUUACAGUAAUAUCAAUAACUUAUUGUUGGGUUCGUUAAGCAAGUGGGCAAUUAGGUCCGUUUAUGAGAGCAUAGGUGAAAUCUUUCGAUGUCGACUAGCACAGCUCAAUUCGGAGUCCUAGUGGACAUUCUGGGUUGGUGUCCAAAAUCCACCACAAUCCACCAAAAUCUACAAACUAAAACUAUUCAAAUUCUUUAAAAUCCAUAUGAAUUUUGUAAAAGUCUUAAAUCCUCCUAAACCCUAUCAAAUUUAUCACUUUUAAAAUCCUUUAAAAUCUUAGUUUGACUACACCCCCUUAGUAUUUUAAAUUGGCUUUACUACAUUGCACAUUGAGAUGAAUUUUUAAAAUGUCCAUCUAGCUUAGCUAGCUACCAUGAAAGCUACAUGAAAGCUGACUGUCAAUUUUCCAAGGGUUUUUCCACAUGAAAUGGCAUGAAAUGGGUUAAUUUCACUUUAAAUAGUUGAUAUAAAAUGAAAACAAAAGUACAACUGGUUGAGAACCUUCCUUUCAUGUUCUCCGUAUCUUAGAGGAUAACAACAGUAGCAAGUUAGGCUGGAUCAAAUACAAGAAUGAACAUGAGAACGUGCAUGCAUGGUUACCUUUUCCUUUUGUUUUUUACAGAGAAUCUUGAGAAGCAGUCAAGGGCAACGUUAUGUUUUUACUACUGAGAUCUGUGUGCUAAAAGGAGAUUACGUAGCUAGGUUCAGUCUUCACCUAACACUCCUAUUAUCACUUGUGACUGUAAAAGAUAUACUGUUGGGGUUGGCUGACGUUAAUUAGUUGUUCAUAUUGAUUUGAGAAAUUUGAUAGAAAUGAGGAUUAACGAAUUACAAUUAGAGCUGGCAAAUAGUUGGGUUUAGUUGGUUUGGGUUAGAUUCACCACUAAUUGAUUUCUACACGGGUCAUUCAAAUUCAAUCCAUUAGCUUAUGCAAUGGUGGAGCGAUGAAUUUUUCACCGGGUGAGCUAGCUUAAAGAUUUAAAUAUUUAUAAAAAAAAAACAUGAUACUGUAUUUUCACCGUAUUAGCUAACUAAAGAAAAUUUUGACAAGGUGAGCCAAGAAUAAACAAAUACUUGUUUAAAUUCAAACAAAUCCAAACUUGUACAUAUACAAGAAUUGAUGAGAAAAAAAGAAUGUAAGAAAAAGAGAUGGUUUGUAAACUGUAUUUUAUAAUUUUAUAUAGUCAAACCGAGAGAAUUUGGAUCAGUGACUAAUAUAUGGUGGACUACAUUCGAAAAUUAAUAAAAAUUACAUGUCAAAUUUUAUUUUUGGGCUAUAGCCCAAAAUAGCCCUUAACAUGGCUCUGCCAGUGAGCUUAUGGUAAAAAUGGUUGACCCGAAAUGACUUGUUUUGUUAACGAGCUAAUCAUUUCAUCCAGUAACGAUUUUUUUUUUUUUUUUUUUUUUUUUUAACAUUCAGCUGAAACCCAACUAUUUCGCGAACUAUUUUAACGGGUCAACCGUUGGUCUAGUUUUGUACUUGCCAACAAAACAAAGAACAUAUGAAAUAGUAAAUUAUUUCAAAGUAAAUCAAAUAGCGACGUAGAUUAUAUAACAACGAGUAAUCGUUUUAACAAUUAAAAAUUUCUUUUCAUUGGUUCAUACAAUUUUCGAAUUGGUAUCAACUUUAGUGUUAUUGUAUGUUUGUACCAUAUUUGACCAAUCCCGAAAUUACUGAGCACCGGUCAACGUUAUACCGUCAAGGACCCAGAAGAGUUUCCCUCCAACUAGGAGGCCAAUCACAGCGUAACACGUGUCGACAUCAGAAGCCAAUCAUAGUGCGACACGUGUCAACAUCAAAAGCCAAUCACAACACGACACGUGUCAAUGUCAGAAUGAAACUAGAAACUCUCUUCUAUAAAUAGAGAUCAUUCUCUCAUAAUAUUUCCUAAUGUCAUUUGUACUAAAUCAUUCACCUGUACUCACUAAAGGAGAGCUUGAACCUAUGUACUUGUGUAAACCCUUCACAAUUAAUAAGAACUCCUCUACUCCGUGGACGUAGCCAAUCUGGGUGAACCACGUACAUCUUUUGUUUGCUUCCCUGUCUCUAUCCAUUUGCAUACUUAUCCACAUUAGUGACCGGAGCAAUCUAACGAAGGUCACAAACUUAACACUUUCUGUUGUACCAAAGUCCUCACUGAUUUUGUGCAUCAACAUAUGGCACCGUCUGUGGGAACGACACUUAUUCCCACUUUCUUCAGCUUUGCCAAGCUGGUUUCCACCAUUCGUACACUCUCUUUUGACCAGGCAUCCCUCUUCAACAUGGGGAGCGAAGGAAGCCACAGCAUACAGAAUGACACCCCUCAUGCACCUAGUGCGAAACAACAAAGGAAGGAAGGAAAGAGGGUUGCUCUUUAAGCUAAAUUCGAUGAGUUAGAAGCUCAGAAUAACAAGAUAGCAAUGAAGAAUGAGGUCCUCUAAGAGCAGUAUGAGAAGCUCUUUGAGACGCUCCACGAAACUAGGCGUACUCAAACACGUGAGCUCGUUGCCCCUAUGGACAUCAACCAUCAUCUGGGUGCCCCCCAACACGGAGGGUCACCUCCCUUCGACAUGGGUAUCCCUAAUGAGGAGCAAGCUAAUCAUCAAAACAUUGAUCAACAUGAGACUUCUCUCAACUCAGAUGUUUCGACCCGAAGUAGAAGAAAUGGAGGAAAACACCUCAUUGCAGAAGGGUUUGAAGGAUCAAAAGUCGUUUAUCGUGAUUGCCGAGACUUCCUAAAGCAACGUCGAGAGAAUCCCCUCCACAUAUGCUCGAAGAUCAAUGACCUAAGGGUUUCUGAAAGACUCGGUCCCUUCUCACGACCCAGGCCAGCUGCUAAUCUAGGGAAGGAAUGACAGGUCCCAGAGGAAUAUGAAGGUACGGAGGACUCUGAGGUAUUCCGAUAGACUCGUCCUAUAAGUCAGUACGGCGAGUCCAAGAAAAAACCACACGCCCUUACUCAAACUUUCCUACUUCCAAGAGGCGAUGGAAACUUACGAAAGAAAAUUCCAGUGGUACAUGACUUUACUCAGGACCCCCUUGUCCUUCAGCUUCUUGUGGAAGUAACCAAGUUGAAGGCCGAACGUCAGGCCGAGAUACCUGACUCGAACCAACCUAGGCAUGGCUCUCUCAUAAGAAGGAUCAUCGACACCCCCUUUCAAGUGAAGACAAAACAAAAGCUUAGUUUACAACUCUAUACUAGAAGGGAGGACCUAAUUGAACACCUUAACCUCUUUGAGGCCACCAUGGCAUAUCGGAUGCAUACUGACGAAGAGUAAUGUCUUCUCUUCCUCUCCACCCUCUCUGGCGGAGCUCUAAACUGGUAUUGCCAUCUUCCACCUGAGACAGUAGACUCAUUUGAGGAAUUGAGGAAACUGUUUGUCUCUCAACACAUCUUCCAGACCGAUCACUUGCAUUCUACGGAUGACUUGUACACUAUUCGCUAGAAGCCGGACGAGUCACUACGAGAGUAUGUCGGUCGCUUCAGCCAUGAGUAUUCUCGCUGCACUGAGGCAGAUGACAAGACCGCCCUCAAGGCCUUCAAGGCAGGCCUACGUGAUUGUUUCUUCAAGUACAUGAUCAAUGCCAACACUUGGAAGACUUACUCUGAGAUGAUGGCACAAGCUUACAACCACGCCUACGCCGAAGUAAAGACAUACCAAGGGAACCCCCAUAUGGUUAACCCCUAUCAAGAAAUGGGAAGUGGAAGUCAAGUUCUACCAAGUGAGGAGAUAUUAGCCUUUCAGACACCCAUUGCAUCAUCUCCUGCCUCAUUUAGCUACUCGCUAAGUCACCAAACGUAUCUGUCUCUUUGUAAGAGGAAGGAUUUUUACUCUCAGCAAGCCCAUUACAGCAAGAGGGAUAAAAGUUCGUAUCAAGACAACCAGGGGUGAACGUACCGUCGAUUAUUAUGUCUAUAGGGCCAUGCCUCACUCUUUCAAAGUGAAGGACUAGGUACUGAAGGAAAUGUUAUUAUAAGAAGGCAUACACAUUACAAAUGUUUUGACUCUUAACCGCUUGAGAUCUUUUGUCACACAAGCCAUUCGGCAAAUAUUUAAAGAAGAGGGAAUUCAUACAACUUCUUCUGAGUCUUUUGCGUUCCUAGCACUGGAACACUUGGUCUACAUUGACCUACCCUUAUACUCCAACUCAGAGCUUCAACAUGCGUACUUUGACACAAAGUAUGUGAUACUAAGUGUUACAACUAACAUGGUUCACAUAUCAAAAGCAUGGAUCCCUUCAUGCAUAGCAAAACAUUCAUCAGCAUCACACAUAUCAAUCAACAUAAACAUUAUACAUUCCAACACAUUCAUACAUAAACAUCAUACAUUCCAACACAUUCAUACAUAAACAUCAUACAUUCCAACACAUCCAUACAUAAGCCAACUGUGCUUCAAAAGGGUUCAACAUACUUUGUGUCUUCAACACUUGCUACAAUGUGCCUCGACACCUUGCCCUUAUUCUCACCAACCAGGUGAUGAAAUGUGAAGAAGGAACUCAUCUUCAUGCCACCAACCAAGUGAUGAAAUGUACAACCCGUACUCUAAUAUCAUUUGGCAACUUGCCACUCAUGCCACUAACCAGGUGAAGAAGGAACUCAUCUUCAUGCCACCAACCAGGUGAAGAAGGACCUCAUCUUCGUGCCACCAUCCAGGUGAUGAAAUGUCCAACCCGUACUCUCCUUCAUGCCACUAACCAGGUGAUGAAAUGUACAACCCGUACUCUAAUAUCAUUUGGCAACUUGCCACUCAUGCCACCAACCAGGUGAAGAAUGAACUCAUCUUCAUGCCACAAACCAGGUGAUGAAAUGUACAACCCAUACUCUCCUUCAUGCCACCAACCAGGUGAUGAAAUGUACAACCAGUACUUUAAUAUUAAUUGACAACUUGCCAUUCAUGCCACCAACCAGGUAAAGAAGGAAAACAUCUUCAUGCCACCAACCAGGUGAUGAAAUGUACAACCCGUACUCUCCUUCAUGCCACCAACCAGGUGAUAAAAUGUACAACCCGUACUCUAAUAUCAUUUGGCAACUUGCCAUUCAUGCCACCAACCAGGUGAAGAAGGAACUCAUCCUCGUGCCACCAACCAGGUGAUGAAAUGUGAUGAAAGGUGAUGAAGGAACUCACCUUCGUACCACCAACUAAGUGAUGAAAGCAACUCACCAUUCAUUCCACCUACCAGAAGACGAGUGGUACAACUUGUACAUGUGAACUCUUAGCAUUCACAAAUAAUCAAAAACCCUCAAGCUUGACAACUCAACUAGGGGAGCACUUAUGCCUAACAAGAGUUAUAGUCACCAAUAAAGUCUUAUUGCAAGCCAAUAACAACUUCAGUGCAUGGCAUACGAAGAUUAAGCUAUUCAGCCCUCUUGCAUCUGCUUCAAGCAUUUCCCCUCUGUAACAAUGCAAACACUACAACUCGUAGAAAGCUUCACACACUCUUGAUCAAGACAGUGUGAAGCAAAACCAAUUUAUGGUGCUAACAAGAGCUUCAUCAAAGAAGUUCAACCACAAUUCUUAAAAACUUCACACAUUUUUUAUCAAGACAGUGUGAAGCAAAACCAAUUUAUGGUGUCAACAAGAGCUUCAUCAACGGAGGGCAACUACAAUUCUCAAAAGCUUCACACACUCUUGAUCAAGAGAGUGAAGCAAAACUAAUUUAUAGUGCCAACAAGAGCUUCAUCAAUAGAGGGCAACCACAAUUCUCAAAAGCUUCACACACUCUUGAUCAAGACAAUGUGAAGCAAAACCAAUUUAUGGUGCCAACAAGAGCUUCAUCAAAGGAGUUCAACCACAAUUCUCAAAAGCUUCACAUACUCUUGAUCAAGACAGUGUGAAGCAAAACCAAUUUAUGGUGCCAACAAAAGCUUUAAAUUGGUGCCAACAAGAGCUUCAUCAAUGGAAGGCAACCAUAAUUCUCAAAAGCUUCACACACUCUUGAUCAAGACAGUGUGAAGCAAAACCAAUUUACGGUGCCAACACAAAUUUCAUCAAAAGAGUUCAACCACAAUUCUCAAAAGCUUCACACACUCUUGAUCAAGACAGUGUGAAGCAAAACCAAUUUAUGGUGCCAACAAAAGCUUCAUCAAUGGAAGGCAACUACAAUUCUCAAACCUUCGAAGCAAAUUCAAGACUGUUCGAAGCAAAUUCAAUUUAUAUGGUUCAUCCAAACCUUCGACUACUACAAGGUGUGGCUUGCAUCACAAUCUCUUGCUCAACAGUGUGGAAGCAAAAUUUGUAUAUGUUGUCUCUCCCACAUUUUUCAAAUUUCUAGUUUCCCAAAAAAAAAAAAUUGGGAAAUUCAACAAAGCUUCAUCAAUGGAGGACAACUACAAAUUCUCAAAAGCUUCACACUAUCUUGAUCAAGAUAGUGUGAAGCAAAAUCAAUUCGUGGUACCCAACAAAGCUUCACCACAAAAGCUUCACCAACAAAAGCUUCAUCAAUGGAGGACAACUACAAAUUCUCAAAAGCUUCACACUAUCUUGAUCAAGAUAGUGUGAAGCAAAAUCAAUUCAUGGUACCUAACAAAAAGCUUCAACUCCAAAGCUUCACCAAUAAAAACUUUAUCAAUGGAGGACAACUACAAAUUCUCAAAAGCUUCACACUAUCUUGAUCAAGAUAGUGUGAAGCAAAAUCAAUUCAUGGUACCCAACAAAAGCUUCAACUCCAAAGCUUCACCUACAAAGCUUCAACUCCAAAGCUUCACCUACAAAAGCUUCACACCCACAAUAGCUUCACCCACAAAGCUUCACCUACAAAAGCUUCACCCAUAAAAGCUUCACCAACAAAAGCUUCACCCACAAAAGCUUCACCCACCACAAAAGCUUCACCGACAAAAACUUCACCCAUAAAAGCUUUACCAACAAAAGCUUCACCCACAAAAGCUUCCACCACCAUAAAAGCUUCACCCACAAAAGCUUCCCCCAUCACAAAAGCUUCACCAACCACAAAAGCUUCACCCAUAAAAGCUUCACCUACAAAGCUUCAACACAAAAGCUUCACCUAAAAAAGCUUCACAUUAUCUUGAUCAAGAUAGUGUGAAGAUAGUGUGAAGCAAAAUCAAUUCAUGGUACCCAACAAAGCUUCAAUCUCAAAGCUUCACCUACAAAGCUUCAACAACAAAGCUUCACCUACAAAGCUUCAACAACAAAGCUUCACCUACAAAGCUUUAAAAUAUAUAUAUAUAUAUAUAUAUAUAUUUUUUUUUUUUGAAAUUCGAAAAUAAAAAAUAAAAAAAAAUUCGAAAAAUAAAAAAUUUCAAAAAAAAAUUCGAAAAAAAAAUUGCUUAGGCCUCCUUUUCUUUGGGCCUAACAACUUUCAUAACAAAUAUAUAUGAAGAAGGAGUUUUGGGCUACCACUUAGAAAGGAAAUGCCUCAUUCGUCAACUCCCUCGACCGGAGACUUAGGGGACUCCUACCAUAUGCUACUGCACCUUGAUACUCGGAAGUCUCACGACCACUCAGUGACUUGGAUUUUUCAAGUCUCCAAACGAGAAGUUUUCCUCACUCGGAAAAUUAAGGGAGCACUACCUCAACCUACAUGCUUCACUCACAAAGCUUCAACAUACAAGCUUCAACAAAAGGAAAAAUUCAAAGAACUUAGUGAAGAAGGCCUUGGUGUAUUUAACACAAUACGUUGAAAUGAAGCAAAGCUUGUUUAUUGAUAUCUCCGAUAAGUUACAAAUAUGUACAUAUACAUGAAUCAAAAUAAACAAACAAGAGGAGCCUUCACAAAGGUUGCUCAGGAGAAGUCUCAGCAGUCGGCAAGGGCCCCAGAAAGAGGAGGCACCAGAGGGUGAUUAUUCGGAGCCUCAGUACUAGGCAGAACCCCAGAAGGAGGAGGCACCGAAGGUUGAUCAUUUGGAGCUUCAUUACGCGGUACAGCCCCAGAAGACGAAGGCAAUAAAUGCCUUUGGAACAAACCCACAAACCUCUGAUGAUCAAGUAAAAUCUGACCAUCAGAUUCCUGCAGCUGGUCGAGCUUCCUCUUCAUGUUUGUAGCAUAGUCAUGUGCGAGCCUGUGCAACUGUUUAUUCUCAUGCUUGAGCCCUCUGAUCUCCUGUUUGAGACUUAUCACUUCAGCCGCCAAUGAUUCAACUUGGCGGGUUCGAGCAAAUAGGCGUUGGGCCAUAUUAGACACAGAACCUGCACACUGAACACUGAGAGCCAGAGAAUCCUUAACAGCCUUCAUCAGACCGUUUGGAAAGUAGUCUGUUAUCUUUGGGAGUGAGAAGGUUCCUGGCCACCACCGCAGCGGUCAUAUCAUUCUUCAUCACAGAGUCCCCAACGGUAAGAGGACCAGUAGGGGAUAAGAAGGAUGGGUGCCAUAUGUUGUCUUGAGAAGGCAUGGCUGCCUCUUCACCAAAGUUCAAGUCAAAACGACGGUCGGAUGGGCCAGACAUUCUCAGAAAUGAUGAAGGAGAAAUGAGGUGCAAUAAAUCUCUGAAGUAAGGGGAAAAUUCCUACAAGCAAUAACUCUCUGAAUGUACUUCUUGCACAUAAUUGGUGCCCUUAUAAAAGAAAGGGCAACAGGGCCGUUGGUUCAAAAAUCGAAGAGGCACCACUCUUCGGAUUCCAAAGAGGCACCACUUUCCACACGCAACAUCAGCUCCUCGGGUACCACAUAUAACUUUGCCAAAGAUCUCUGACAAAGUUUAGACACAUAAAUUUUAAAGGUCCAGCUAUCCUACUAUUACCCACAAGGGUAAAGGAACAACACCACUGCUUGAUAACUAGAAAGUCCCAAUGUGUGUCAACCUCCGUGCUCCGUGGCAAGGCAGACUGGCAAAAAUGCCCAACCUUUACUCACAUUUGAUAAAACACUCCCAACAAGAUUGCUUGCUCAAAAAUCGAAGAGACAUCGCCCUCCGAAUCUAGAUAGCCAGACUCCCAACAGGAUUAUUUUCUCAAAAAUCGAAGAGAUACUGCUCUCCGAAUCUCAAGAGUCAGACUCCCAACAAGAUUGCUUUCUAAAAAAUCGAAGAGGCACUGCUAUCUGAAUCUCGAGAGCUAGACUCCCAACAAGAUUACGUGCUCAAAAAUCGAAGAGGCACCGCCCUCUGAAUCUCGAGAGCCAGACUCCCAACAGGAUUACUUUCUCAAAAAAUCGAAGAGACUGCUUUCCGAAUCUCAAGAGUCAGACUCCCAACAGGAUUGCUUUCUCAAAAAUCGAAAAGGCAUCGUUAUCUGAAUCUUGAGAGCCAGAUCCUCGACAGGAUUGCUUGUUCGAAAAUCAAAGAGACACCGCUCUCUGAACUCCGAGAGCCAGAUUUCCUUGGAUAAAGCUUGUCUGCAAUCUUCACACACAACAUCAGUUUUCCAGAUACUACAAACCACUUUUUCAAAGUGCUCUGACAAAGUUAAAACACGUGAAGCUUGCAGCUCCCAUUACAUUGCUAUGACCAAGAAGGGUAAAGAAAUAGCACUACUACUUGUUAUUAGGGAGACUCAUAUAUAUAUCGACCUCCAUCCUCCACAACCAGGCAGACCUACAAAUAAAAAAAAAUGCUCAACUUUUCUUCACAUCCGAGAAGGCACCCUCAGCAGAGUCUCAUGAAAUACUCAGCUUUUUUUCCUCCCGAUAAUACCUCUGCAAACAAGCCACACCAGAGCAAGAGUAUCUCAUAUCAUCAGGGUUAAAAGCAAGAGUAUCCCAUAUCAUGCUUUUUCCCUGUUUUUUCCUUUGGCCUUGUUUUUACCUACAAGACAAGGAGAAAAAGAGCAAUCAGUCAGCGCUUGAAAUCAAGCUUCAAGUCAGGAACUACCUCUUGCCUGAUUACUUACCUGACAUUGCUCUCGAGUACUCAUCUUCAACAUCUUAUGCUUUCAGAGAAGAUACCAUAUCUGCCUGAGGAACAGAUAAGGCAAGUGAGAAGGAUACAAGGAAGCAAGUGGAGACAAGCGUAACAGAACACGUGCCGAUACAUCCACUACUUUGUCAACAACAAAAGUAUCCCAUAUCAUCAGGGUCGAACGUACUCUAGAUUUGAUGGACUUGUUUUGACCCUCAAAUUCUUGAGUCGGCCUUAUACUCUGGAGGAAACCAGAAAACCCUCCAGCCCAGUUCAAGAAUAAGCAUGUGGAAAGUUACUUCUUCAAAAGCAAAAGUAUCUCAUAUCAUCUCUUCUCCAUUUGUUUCUCCUUAUCCUUGUUGCUAUUUAAGACACAAGGAGAAGGAGAACAAUCAACCGGAAGCCGAAGUUGAACCUCUGAUCCAGGUUGCUUGCUUGGAAGUCUGAUUGCUUACCUUUUCUGUUACCUCUCUCGGCAAAUCUCCUAGCUCGACGACUUGGGGGACUCCUACUACAGGGUUUGUAUCGCACAUGACCAAGCUCGAAAUUACAAGUAAGCUUCAAGUGAAAUUGAUACAUUACCUUAUGCAUCUUCAUCGGUUAAAGAUACCACCCAUGGAUAGAGGAAAAGUACCUCUAGAGAAGAUGCCACAUCUACAUAUGAGACAGAUAAGACAAGUGAAAAUGAUACCACACUUCGGUACUUAGAAGUUUCGUGAUUACUUAAUAGCUUGGAUCUUGUAAGUCCCUAACCGAGGAGCUUCCCUUACUCGGGAGCUUAGGGGAUCACUGUUUGUACCAUACUUGACCAAUCCCAAAACUACUGAGCACCGGUCAAAGUUAUACCGUCAAGGACCCAUAAGUGUUUCCCUCCAACCAGGAGGCCAAUCACAGCGUGACACGUGUCGACAUCAGAAGCCAAUCAUAGCGCGACACGUGUCAACAUCAGAAGUCAAUCACAACACGACAUGUGUCAAUGUCAGAAUGAAACUAGAAACUCUCUUCUAUAAAUAGAGAUCAUUCUCUCAUAAUAUUUCCUAAUGUCAUUUGUACUAAAUCAUUCACUAGUACUCACUAAAGAAGAGUUUGAACAUAUGUACUUGUGUAAACCCUUCACAAUUAAUAAGAACUCCUCUACUCUAUGGACGUAGCCAAUCUGGGUGAACCACAUACAUCUUGUGUUUGCUUCCCUGUCUCUAUCCAUUUGCAUACUUAUCCACACUAGUGACCGGAGCAAUCUAGCGAAGGUCACAAACUUAACACUUUCUGUUAUACCAAAGUCCUCACUGAUUUUGUGCAUCAAUAUUGUACAAAUGAAAGGUAUGGUGACUAUAGAAGCUAAAAAUAAAUAAACAGAAAAUAAAGGAAAAGUGACAAAGAAAAAUAUUAGUUUGUGUCGUUCUCAUUGUAAUAGUCUGUCAUGUGAUAUAUUUUAUACAUUGUAAUAUGAACGAUGAGUAAGUGUUUUGUUUUUUUUGUCAAACAAUAUAUUUGUUAGAUUAGAGAAUUGACGGGGUUCGAAUCCACGUCGUGGUGCAAGGCCACCACUAGUCUCCACUACUGUGGUAGAGUGCCACUUGUGGUCAGUAAGUUAUUAAAUGGUGUGAGAAUUACACCAAAAUAUUCAUUAGUUUUGGAGUAAUGCUAGAGAGACUAAAUUUGUAGACAAAAUUUUAAAAACUAAAAGACAUAAAAGUUAAUGAUUGGUUUAUUACUUAAGUGUUAAUAAACAUGCUUAUUCCUAUUGGUGACACAUUAUUUAGUUUACAAAUUUUGUCUAUAAAUUUAGUCUCUGUGGCAUUACCCUUAGUUUUAGGCUUUGUAAUCAAAAUGGUCUUAGAGAUUGGUACAACUCUUUACUUUGGUCCCAAAUAUUGAAAAUUGAUAGAAGUAAUCCCUGAGUUUGUUCACCGUAAAUCAUUUUGGUGCAUCCGUGAAAAGUCUGUCAACACCAUCUUUAAAUUGUCAUAUGAGCGACCACAAGACAACCUUUUCCAUAGUAUUGUCAAACUAACUCCUUUUAUUAACCAAAAUGGUCGAGUUUGGUAUAACCUCUCAUUUUGAUUACUAACAAUGAAUAUCAAUAGAUGUGGUCCUUGAGUUUGUCUAUCGUAAAUCAUUUUGGUCAUUCUAUGAAAAAUUUAUCAAUAUACUCGUUAAAUUGUCAUGUGAGCGACCGCGUGAUCACCUUUUAAAGGGCAUUUUUACCAAACCAACCCCUCCACUUAACAAGAAUAUUGAUAGAGUUUUCAAGGAAGGAACAAAAUGAUUUACGAUGGUCAAACUCAAUGACCACUUCUAUCAGUUUUCAUUGUUAGGGACUAAAAUAAAGAGUCAUGUCGAUAUCAGGAACUAUUUUGGUUAAAAGGGGUUGGUUUGAUAAAAAAAUACAUUUAAAAGGGUGGUUACAUGGUCGCUCAUGUAACAACUCAAUGAUGAUAUUGAUAGAUUUUUUACUGAAUGAUCAAAAUAAUUUAUGGUGGAUAAAGUCAAAAACCACGUCUAUCGAUUUUGUAAUCUUAGAAACUAAAACGAAGAAUUAUGACAAUCUCAAAAAUCAUAAGUUUAACUAAAAACUCUUCUUGUUAUACAUCAAAAUUAAUGAAUGUGCUUUUGUAGAGGACGUAAAUGUGUCAACGAAUCAGACCUUCACUAGUUAAAACCAUCCCUACUAAUGCUGUUUGAAAAGUAAGUACUAAUAUGAUUAAUGAUUGUACAGAAAAAUAAGUACUAAUAUGAUUAAUGAUUGUACAGAAAAAAAUAUAUUAUCUGAACAGCUCAUCGUGCAUGUUGAUUGAUGUAAAGUGAAUUUUUUUUUUUUUGGUAAACUUGGGAAGGUGGAACUUGGGAAGGAAUUUCACAUUCUUGGGGUGAUCAAUAUAAUGAGAUUGUAAGUCUAGUUAAACAUGCUUAAUUAAACAUUUAAGCAUCUUUUAUUUAUUUGUUUUCAUUCUUUAUUCCUUCUUAAUUUGUUGUAAUUGUUUGGAACAACUAGCAAGACAAAUCUAGCUAGCUAGCAUUCACUGCACAAUGAAAGAUUAUUCGUAUUUGGAAAUGAAUAAUUAGUUAAAACCUGUAUUAUUAGGCAAAUGGGAUCGUAAAUAUUUGUAUCUUAAACCUUCACAGUCAGAGAUAUUCGAGUCAAUUAGUUAAAAGCUAUGAAAAUUGUGAAUGUGACAGACUACGUACUAAAGUCUGGAUUAUUUGAGAGAGAGAGAGACAUGAGUCUCGCAGCCGACUGGUCCCUCAUCUGAGCAGAAAGAACCAUAGAAAGUUAGGCAACCACGCACAUUUUCAAAGAUGUCGAUCAUGAAAAAUAUUUCACAAAUAAAUUCAGGGAAGACUUUCUGUUUAAAUUAUUAACCCAGAAAUAAAGCUCCAUCUCUUGGUAGCUAGCCUUUCUGCUACGUACUCUUGUUGCAUUAAACUAAACCUUAUUAAAGCAAAAAUAAUCACACCUUAGGUGAUAGGUUUAGGGAAAUGGUUAAUGAUUUUAGCAAGUUCUUGUUUAUUUUUUAAUUUUUAAUUUUUUUUUCUUUAAUCAAUUUAAAUGCUAAAAUUAAACAACGAUGUGCACCACAAAUAAGAGGGUGUGUGAAAAUUAUAUCUCUAUAUCUAGAGAAAAUUAUGGCAAUGGUUCUUUAACUUUAAUAAAAUUGAAGUAAUGGUCUCUCAAAUAAAAAUUUAUGAUCAUUGGUCCCUUAAUUCUUUCAAACAUGCAACUAUAGUCAUUUUCAUCAAUUCCAUAAGAACGUCCAUCAAAAUGAGUCACGUUUCAUGCAAUGAGGCUGAAUCGAAGGACAAAUAUGAAAAACCAAAUGAGAAAAAUUGUAGCAGUGGUCUCUCAACUCUAACCCAACUAGAGAAAUAGUCUCUCAACUUUAACUCAAUUAGAGUAAUGAUCCUUCAACCUUAACGUAAUUGUAGCAAUGGUUAUUCAAACAUAACUUAUUUUGACAGAAUUCUAACGGAGUUAACAAAAAAAUCAUAGCUGCACGUUUUGAUGAGUCAAGAGACCAAUGAUCAUGGAUUUUUAGUUGAAGAACAAUUGCUCUAAUUGGGUUAAAGUUGAGAGGCAAUUGCUACAAUCUUCUCCUAUAUUUAUUUAUUAUUAUCUACGUUUACAAUGAACCAUCUACUCCAUGAAGCAAGAUAUUAAAAAAGGACAAGGAUUGUCUGCCCUUCCAUUUUCCAUGCCCUCCUGUUUUGUGUGAUCACAGUUAAGCCACGUUAACAUUUUAUAUAUUUUUUAUAAAGAUAAUAAAACAAAAAUGAAUAGUAAUAUAAAAUAUUGACGUGGCUUAACCGUGACCACACAAACAAGAGGGCAUGGAAGGGCAUGGAAAAAGGAAGGGCAGACAAUCCUUUCCAUUAAAAAAAGGGCAGGGCUUAACAAAAUUCAGUCAAAGGCCUCCUUGAUCCAAACAUUAAUUGAUAAUCUAUUCAAACAGUGGCCCCAUUAGUCUUAUUUUAACAUUAAUCUUAUUUUUUACUAAGGUAAUUAAUAAUUGCAAGUGAAAUUUGGCAUGAUUACCGUGGUGUUAAAGGUAAAGACCAAAGCUAUAUAAAGGGUGAGAAGGCUUAGCUUAAGAGGCAGAAAUCCCAUUCUUAACAAAGAUGGGGAAAAUGGGGCCUUCACAAGUGACCUCUCUUGUGGUCACUAUACUAGUGGCACUAGUCUCUCUCACAUUGCCUUCAGAAACUUCAGCUAACUACCCUUACUCAUCUCCACCACCACCGGCUUCUCCUCCCUACCACUACAAGUCACCACCACCUCCUUCUCCUUCUCCUCCAGUGUACUCACCACCUAAGCAUCCCUACCACCCCAAGUCACCACCACCAUCACCAAAGCCUUACCACUACAAGUCCCCACCACCACCUCCUCCUCCAGUGCACUCACCACCCCCACCAAAGGAGCCUUACCACUACAAGUCUCCACCACCACCACCCAAGAAACCUCACCAUCACAAGUCUCCUCCACCACCACCCAGGAAGCCCUACCACCCGGUGCACUCACCCCCACCACCAAAGAAGCCUUACCAUUACAAGUCUCCUCCACCACCACCCAAGAAGCCCUACCACCCGGUGCACUCACCCCCACCACCAAAGAAGCCUUACCAUUACAAGUCUCCUCCACCACCACCCAAGAAGCCCUACCACCCGGUGCACUCCCCACCACCACCAAAGAAGCCUUACCAUUACAAGUCUCCUCCACCACCACCCAAGAAGCCCUACCACCCGGUGCACUCACCCCCACCACCAAAGAAGCCUUACCAUUACCAAUCCCCACCACCACCACCACCACACAAGAAGCCUCACCACCCAGUUCACUCACCACCUCCACCUAAGAAGCCUUACCACUACACGUCUCCCCCACCACCCCCUCCAGUCCACAAGUCUCCUCCACCACCAGUUCACUCACCACCACCACCACCUAUUAAACCUUACAAGCCACCAACACCUCCAACAGUUCACCCACCACCCGCUUACAUCUAUUCAUCACCCCCACCUCCUCACCACUACUAGAUAUUGAGAGCUUAGUUGCAUCCAGUUGGUAAGCCUCUCCAUUCUAUGUUUUUAGAUCAUAUCCAUACAACUGCAAGCAAUCGCCAAAUAAUUUGACAAAAAACAUCCCUAGCUAUAAAAUUAUAAUACACUAGUGUUUACUUCCUUUUUUGUCUAAUAAUCCAUAUUGGCAUAUGCAAGCUUAAUGCAUUUCCAGCAUAUCGUCAUUACUCAAUUAAAGUUUCUUGAUAUUUAGUAGUACUCAAGUGUAACAAAUAGACCAAUGACAGAGACCUAACAAGUAACAAUAAUAUAUAUAUAUAU